rnacentral:lncRNA from 1 species
GCAGCUGCUCUGAAGUCUCCAGAUGUGAAAGUCGAGCAAUUUGCUGUUCUUGUAAGAGACAUACCUGCUGUUCCUGAAGGCAAAACUCGAAAGGAACAGGUUGAUUCAUAUUUUAAAGGCAUCUACCCUGAUACCUUUUACAGAUCAAUGGUGGUCACAGACAUUAAACAGGUACUGUACUGAUUGUCUCUUAUUCAUCAUCUCUUUGUGCCUGCCUUCUUAUUGUGCACCUUAGGCCUGGUGCUAUCAUUUGAACAUAUCUUGGGUGACUCAUAUCUCCUUCCUCUGAGUUUCUCCACUUCUUUCUUACUGUUUCUCACUUUUCACUUGAUUUUAUAUAUAACUAUUUUUAAUAUUUACAGAUUAAAACUAUUUCAUAAACUGAAAUAUUGUGUAGCAAAGUAUUGAUGAUUCAUAAGAAAAGUAGUUAGAUCGGAUGAUCAUGUGCACUUCAGCAUGAAUGAUUUUUCUAUCUUUCCCAUUUGUGGUCUAUGCUCUGAAUUUUAUUUUUAUUUGUAAGGUAAUAUUAUUUAAUGUUUCUCAGGUCACCAAAAUAUGGGUGAAGUUGGAAGGGUAUAAAAAGAAGCUUGCACGUGCUGAAGCUAUAUAUGAACAGUCAAAAACAACAGGCAGCCCAGAGGGCAAAAGACCUAUGAACAAAACUGGCUUCCUUGGUCUUGUUGGAAAGAAGGUAGAUUCCAUAGAAUACUACAAUGAGAAAAUUAAUGAAUUGAUCCCAAAACUAGAGGCUGAACAAAAAGUCACCCUCAGGGAAAAGCAGCAAGCCUCAGCUUUAGUUUUCUUCACCAGUAGGGUGACGGCAGCUGCUGCUGGUCAGAGCCUACAUGACCAAAUGGUUGACUCAUGGACAGUCAUAGAUGCUCCUGAACCCCGUCAGAUAAUAUGGAAAAACCUCCUGAUCAAGUUUUAUUCAAGGGAAAUAAGACAGUAUGUUGUGUACAUUAUCGUGGCGUUGACCAUACUUUUCUACAUGAUUCCAAUUGGGCUUAUUUCUGCGGUCACGACACUGAAAAAUCUGGUGAAGUAUCUUUCAUUUUUAAAGCCAAUCGUGGAAAUAGUCGCCAUUAAGACAGUAUUGGAAGCUUACCUCCCUCAGCUUGCACUCAUUAUUUUUUUGGCUUUGCUGCCCAAGCUUCUCUUAUAUCUAUCUAAGGCUGAGGGAAUUCCUUCUCAGAGCCAUGCAGUAAGGGCAGCCUCUGGGAAGUAUUUUUAUUUCACAAUUUUAAAUGUUUUUAUUGGUGUUACUGUUGGGGGAACCCUGUUCGAUACAUUCAAGACCAUUGAGGAUCAGCCAAAAGAACUUGUUUCCAUAUUAGCAAAGAGCCUUCCAAGCAAUGCAACUUUCUUCCUGACCUUUGUGGCUCUCAAGUAAGAAUUAUUUCAUGCUCAUGUUUGUUAUUCUGUUUCCAUUUUCUAUUUAUUUUGUUUCUAUUUUUCACAUAAAGCUAUAUUUUUCUUUGAAAUCAUUUGCUUAUACUGCCUUCUUUUGGUAAUCACAUAAAGCUAAUCAUCAGUCAUUAACUAGUGUUAUGAAGUUUAAACUCUUCUAAUGUCUCCAUGGGAUCCAUAUUGACUACCAUGUUAUUAUAUACAUAUAUCCCUUGUAGUAUGGUCCAUCUUGUUUCAUCUUUGAACACAUCAUGGACUUGUUUGGACGUUGCAUGGAAAUUAAAUCUCUAGGUAGAGAACCUAUAUUGAGAACUCAAGGGUCACUAAGCCUAUUUUUGUACACAGAACACAACCCCUCCCCCCCCGGCCCCACUGAGUUAUUUAGAUCUAAUUUCCGCUAUUUCUUGAUCAGUUAUGAUUUUUAAGAGAGAUCUUAUUCUAAUAUAUAAUUUUCUCUUUUCUUUUGAGACUGGAAUAGUUUAAUUCUUUAUUUUAUGCAUUAGUUAUUCUUAUUAUCAGCUCAAUUUGCUUGUAAGAGCCCGAGAUGGCGACAUCUCUAGUUGUUAUUCAGCAUAUGCCUGGCUUUAAUCCUAAUGAACACCUGAAAAUCCUAUAUAUUUACUACUCUCUCGUCAUAAUUCUGUGGUACCAGGUUCUUUGUCGGCUAUGGGCUUGAGUUAUCCCGAAUAGUUCCUCUCAUUAUAUUCCAUCUGAAAAGGAAGUAUCUAUGUAAGACUGAAACAGAGGUCAAAGAAGCUUGGGCUCCAGGAGAUCUUGGGUAUGUAUCUAGGGUUCCUGGUGACUUGCUGAUCAUCACAAUUGUUCUAUGCUACUCUGUAAUAGCCCCGAUUAUACUCCCAUUUGGUGUGCUAUACUUUGGCCUAGGAUGGCUUAUUCUUCGGAAUCAGGUAAUGUAUAAACAAAUUUUUUCUUUAGGAAUGAUUCUGAAAAGCAUUCACAUUCUGUCUUUGAUGGCUUCUAACCUAUGUUUUUGAUACCAUACUGAAACUUGUUUGACAGCAUGUUAAUAUUGAAACAAGUGAGUUUUCCUUUUUAAUCUUAAUGCUACAAUACAACUCUUAAAAACUUGAAGAAACAAAUGAUAUAUGCUAAAUCACAAAUGAAGCAACUCUUCGUUUGCUUCGUUAAAUAGGUGCGCCUGCAACGAAGCAACUAUUUGCUUGCUUCUUGGAAUCUUUUAUUUUGUGAAUUACCAUACUGAAACUUGUUUGACAGCAUGUUAAUAUUGAAACAAGUGAGUUUUCCUUUUUAAUCUUAAUGCUACAAUACAACUCUUAAAAACUUGAAGAAACAAAUGAUAUAUGCUAAAUCACAAAUGAAGCAACUCUUCGUUUGCUUCGUUAAAUAGGUGCGCCUGCAACGAAGCAACUAUUUGCUUGCUUCUUGGAAUCUUUUAUUUUGUGAAUUGAUUGUACUUAGGCCACUUCCUCCAUUGGAGAAGUAAAACUAGUGAGUUGCUGUGUGUCAUUUAGCAUUGAUGUAAAAAAAAAAUUUGUUCUUUGAAGGUGUUCAUGGUUGAGACUCAAAACAAACUCUCAGCAGAAAAUUGACCUGUGUGCUUGAUUUUCAUAUUACUGUUCAUCAUUGUUUUUGUUUUUUGGCAGGCGCUCAAGGUUUAUGUUCCAUCCUAUGAGAGCAAUGGGAGAAUGUGGCCCCACAUACAUGUGCGAUUGAUCGGCGCUCUUUUAUUGUACCAGGUCACCAUGCUUGGUUACUUUGGAGUGAAAGAAUUCCGCUAUACUCCAUUUGUGAUCGUGCUCCUUAUACUUUCCUUGAUCUUUAUCUUUGUCUGUCAGAAGAAAUUCUAUCGCUCUUUCCAGUCCGUACCUCUUGAAGUUGCUUCCCAUGAAUUGAAGGAAAGUCCAAACAUGGAACAUAUUUUCAGAGCUUACAUCCCACCAAGUUUGAGCUGUGAAAAGGAUGAAGAGCAGUUUGAAGAUGCUUUAUCUCAAGUUUCAAGGACGACAUCAUCAGUUUGAUGUGCAUUUGUGUAUCUUCCCUUUGUUGUCAUGGUGUUGUAGCAUGAAUACUUGUUUGGCAGAUCUGUUGAUAACUUGUGUUAGCAAUCAUGUUAGGAGGUUUUAUGUGUAAUAUAAUAUAUUAUAUUUUUAUGUAUUUUUUGGAUCUUGGUGUGCAUAAUACUUUUCCAUGUUAAGUGCUAGAAAGCUACUGAAUUCUUCUUGUUUCUUUUUCCUUCUCAUUGGGGUUGGAAUCAUGUCAGUUUUUCUUCUUAGAAUUAUUUUGGCCAUUUUUUUCUUAGCUGCUACCAUUCCAAUGAUAUCGCUUAUCAUGUUGUCUUCUUGCUUUCUGCAUGGUUUAGCCCAUCCUCUGUAACUGUCAAAAACUAAGUCCCUUGUUGAUCAGUUUGCUGGUAUUUCUAAGCUCGGCUCUUAUCAACUAAGCUACCAACUCUUUUGUGCUAGUAUGGAAUUCUUGCUAUGGAACCCAGGCAUGGACAUGCAUACGUAGUGGCAAAAUCUAUAAAACUAAAUUCACCCUUUUUUUAAAACAGGGAUGAUUACGUAUCAAUAUGCAUGUGGACCUCUAAGAGGGUGUUUGGUAAGAUGAUUUAAUGUUUAAUAUUUAUUGAUUUUAAGUUUAUUUUAACUUAUAUUUAAAACUUAUUAUUUAUUUUUUACUUUUAAGUAUUAAGGUUAUUUGAUAAAAUUAAUUUACCAUUUAAUCUUAAUCACCAAAUUGACAUAUAUAACCCUAUUAAUUUUAAUUAAUAUUUUGUCUUAUUAAUUUUAAUUCAUAUUUAUUGUUAUUAAUUUUAAGUAAUAAAUUUAUAUAUAAUGCAUCCAUAUUUUUAUUAAAAAAUGUCAUAAAUAUAAAAUUAUAAUUCUAAAAUAUAUUCUCAUUAGUGUGGAUAAAUAAAGUAAAAAAGAUUUGAAAUUAAAAAUAAAUUCAUUAUUUUGACUUAAUACAAAAAGUUAAAAGUAAUUUUAAGUUAUUUCACUCUACUUAAUAACUUAAAUUAGAUUAUAAAGUCAUAUUAUUAAGUUAUUAAAUUGAUUUAGCAAAUAGUUUGUCUACAAUCCCUUUUAAAACUCUCCAGAGAUGGGAUAAAAGCAUCUCAUUAAAGUAUUAAAUUUUACCAAAUAUUCACUUAGAGGGCAUUUGGUAAAUCCACUUAAUGAAUUAAGUUAUUAAGUAGAUUAAACAUGUUUGGUAAAAUAACUUAAUAUCUCAACUUUAAAUUAAAAAUGAUUUUAAGUAUUAUGUCAAAAUAGUUAACUUAUUUUUAAUCCCAAUUUUUUUUUUGUCCUAUUAGCCUACAUUCAAUGAAAAUAUAUUUAGCAACUAUCACUUGACAAUCAUGACUUAUUUUUUUAUAAUAAAUAUAAAUAUUUUAAGAUUAUUUUAUAAAUUUACAAUACUUUAAAUAUGGAUGUUUAAUAAAUAAAUUUAUUAUUAAAGGUUAAUGAAAAUAAAUAUUAAUUAAAAUGUUCAAUAAUAACCAUUAAUUAUAACUAAUGAGGUAAAUAUAUCAAUUUAAUAACUUAAAAUAAAAUUUUAAAUUAAUUUUACCUUAUAACCUCGAUACUUAAUGUAAAAAAUAAAUAAUAAUUUUUAAAAAUAAUUUAAUUUAAAGUCAAUUUCAAUUAUUAAGUAAUAAAUAAUAAGUUUUAUCAUAGUGUAUAGAUAAAGCAUCUCAUCAAUUUUUUUUCCACAUGAAAGACAACUCAAAACUACAUAUCAAACUAAUGAAAAUCCUUAUUCAUCCUAUUCUGAGUAUUGAUUGUGCCACUUGUUCUCAUUAUAUCCACAACUCAGAAAUACUUGUGUCAGUUAGCUAGUCUCAAAAAUCUGUUCAUAUCUUUGAACAUUGUGAUGAAAUUUUUGUGGCAACUAGUUGAACAUGGCAAUGAAGGACCAUCAUCUUGUGAGGUGUAGACGUAAAGGGUGAAUGAGAGGCUCUAUUAGUUAAUUCUACAUCUCAAAGAUGAUUUUUUAGGGCAUUAUCUGUCCCUAAUUGCCUACUCUGCAUAGGGUCUAGUUGUCCACCUAAGAUCCGGGAAUUAUCCAAAUAUUUUUGCUGGAAUUACGACCCAAAAUUUCUUCUGGGUCUGUGGUAAUUAAGUAACAAAUAACUACUGUAAAGUUUAUCAUGUGGAAAGAGGGAUCAAUUUAAUGUGAUAGAGAUGAUGUUGGAUUAUGAAAUUUGAAACAAUUUUGUCACGAUUCGGAUGCUGAGGGAUGAGUUCCCCAUUGAACUCAUGGGGAGCAAGCUAUUUGAUCAAUUUGAAGGGGUUUAAGGGGGCAAUGCCUUUAGAAUGUUAUUAUUAUUAUCAUUAUUAUUAUUAUUGAAUGACAAAUUUGUCUCUAUUAGAAAUUUAACCAUCUUAUGUUUUAGGGUUUGUUUUUAAGAACAGAGUGUAAUUGAGAGGAGAGUGGAAAAGCUUUCACUAUUGUAACUUUUUUUUCUUUUGUUUGAUUAUUUGAUUCUUGAAUGUUGGGAUACUUCAUGAACAUAACAAUCAUAUUGAUUUUUGAACCACAUUAAAAAUCUCUUAUCCUUUCUUUACUUUCACUCCCUUGUGUGCAACUUGGUUAAGAUAAAAAUCAAUUACAAGUGUACAACAUCCUUAACAAAAUUGAGGAGCUACAUAGUCAAUGGAGUCAAUCUCAAUUCCGUAAAGGAUUAUAUGUAAACAUUUUCUCAGUUGUGAAACAAAGCUUAGGAGCUUCACCAAAAGGAGAAGGUAUGUCUUCUUGGUCUUUACUAGCUUAUCCCAUCUGCUAUGACUAUUAGACACAAGCCCCUUGUUAGGCACUUGGUACUAGUUCUCUGGUAUCCUCAUCUCCUUUGUCAACAUAUCACUUGACUUGUUCACUAGUGCAAGGUCUCUUCAAGUAUUCCAUCAAUAUUUGGACCUACCUGUGAUAUCCCACAUUAGAUAGAGGAGAAAAUUAUUGACAUUAUAUAAAUAUGAACUCCUCUUCAUCUUGUGGACAAGUUUUAAAGCCUUGAGGGCCCCUUUGAGUUCAAAGCAGAUAAUAUCUACACGGUUGGGUGCACGUCAUUACAAAAUGAUAUUAGAAUCAAUCCAUGACCCUGAUGUGGGGAUUUGUUUGGCUCUACGAGGGGUGUCUGUCUAUUUAGUCCCAUAAUCUCAUAGGACAUAACAAUGAUGUUGUGUCUGUAUGAAGGGUGAUUAUAAUAUCUCACAUCAUAUAAGAGAGAAAGUUUUUGGCAUUAUAUAAGUAUGAACUCCUCUUGACCUUGUAGAUACAUUUUAAAAGUCGUGAGGAUCUCUUUGGACAUAGAGUAAGCAAUAUCUACAUGGUUGAGUAUAGGUUGUUACACUAUUAUUAAUAAACCCAUCUAUGAGAUGCAUGUAUAUCUCUAGAUUAUGAAAACCUAGCAAAUCGAAUUCACGUUUCAAGUAGGGAGGCAAUGAAAUAUCAAGCUUUUCACAUUAAAGUUGGUGGAUAGGCUUGCUUGAAUGACUGAAACCAUUAGACUUGUAUGCCCUUCUACUUUUUUUCCUCUUUUAAUUUCCUUCUUUCUUGUGACUCGUUUGAAUGGCAACAAUUCUAUUUUGAAUUCAAAUUCCUAGAACUAGAAAACAAAUUGGAGAUUUCUAGGUAUUGGGUUUGGUGCCAAUUAAUUAGUGAACUUGGAGAAAGAGAUAUAUAUCACAUGGUUGAUACCGCUUUCAUGGAAAGUUCUGAAUGUUUAGAACUCCUUGGAGGCGGCUCAUGAAUUUUGGUAAUGAAAUUUGACUAUUUUCCAUGUACUUAACCUCUGCUUUGUCUCCAUCCCAAGAUAUGAAAGAGUGCGAUUUGAAGAUGUUUACUAGCUGAUGACACCAAAUUUAAAAUUUACUUUUAUGCUGAUUGAAUUUGACCCACAAAUUUUAGUUUAAUAUUUUUUUUCCUGAAAUUCAAUAAAAAAAUGAUUAAGACGUGACUUGUGGUGUCAAUAGCUUUGUCCAUACGUUCAAUUUUCAAUUUAGUGUCUAUUGAAUGUAACUUUUUUUUUUUUAAUGUAAAAUUAAGAACGUUUCAUUCAUGUAUUUGUUUUUGACAAUGUUGUUUGUGUCAUCUAUUUAAUGAAUGAUUUUUAUUUAUUUAAAUAAUAUUAUUUUUUUACAAAAAAAAAUUACUUUAAAAAAUAAUUAUAAAAAUAUAAUAUUCUUAACAUCAUUUCAGUAAAAAAAAAUAAAAAAAUAUGGUGCCAUCAUUCGUUCUCUUCAUUUGUAGGGCUUCCUAAUGACUCCUAUGUCUCGACCAACUCUUCUAGAGCCAUGGUCUUCAUCCUAUGCGUAGUGCAUGAAAUCAUUUUCACAAGUAAAUUGGCUCAUUAGAUAUUGACUUUGUUAGUGUUCCCAAUAUCUCCUUCCACAUUAUCACAUCCAUCAUCAAUUCCACCUCUUGAACCAUCGUAACUAGAAUUAGAAGUACCAACAACACUAGGUCUACUACUUUGGGCCACACUUAUGGAGUCAACUUCUUGGUGGGAAUUCAAUGUCGCCUAAAAUGAAUCCUUAGUUUCUUGCUAAAACUCUCACUGUGAACUUCUUUAGACAACACGCGUUCAACAUCAACUCCAAAUUUACGAGCAUGAGUGACAAGAUUUCCAACUUCAUUAUCCAAGUGUAAAGACCUAACCCAUUGGAACAAUUGAUUAACCUUUUUUUUUCACGUUGAAAUGUCAAGAAGAUCAAUGUAAUCUUUCUUAGUAACUUGAUCAUUUUCUACCUUCAUAUCCCGUAACUUUCGCUUCAUGUUAGAAUAAUAAUAAAAUAAUUGUUGCAAUCGAGGGUAAACUAGAUGAUUUCGUUGCUUUGUGUGGAUGAGAGCAAAUGUGCUCCAAUUUCUUUCACAUGUAGGAGAUGACUUAGCUUGUGAGAGAACUUUGAUGGCUAACUUCCUCAAUGUAGGUAUUUGAUUUCCAUACAUGAACCACCAUUCAGUUGCAAUCAAAUUCAUAAUCAUAUAAAUACUUAUGUGAUCAAUUUACAAUAAUGAUAAUAAAAAUAAGAAAUAGUACUCAUCGGGCACCAUGGUCGACCUUGCUCAACUGCCACUCAAUCACCGAAUCCUCUUUUCACAUCUAAAAAAAACACAAACUAUGUAUUCAACAUUUAAUUUGUCAAUACCAUAUUUGUUAGUAAACGUUCAAAUAAAUUGAAGAAUGAAAUUAUUGUUUGAUUAAAUUGAGUAAAAUAACAAUUUUUUAUUUACCUUAUUUCCAAAUUGACCAAUCGAUUUAGCAUUUGGGUUUAAUUUAGCAAAUAUGUCAUGGGCCGCUUGAAUUAAAUUUGGAUCACUACCAACUCCACACCUAUAUUGAAACCUUGGAUUCAAGAAGUAUGCUACAAUAAAAUUAAGUAGAUUUAGUAUUUUGUAAGAGAAAAUUAAAUAAAAUAAAAGUAACAACUUAUGAAAAUUAAAUACCUAUUACAUAAAGUGGAUGUUUCAGUUUAUUUGUUGCAUGACCAUUGCAUCAUCAUAUCGUCGUUGGGAUGCCCUUACAGUUGUUAGAUUACAUCUACAAUAUGGGCCAUAAGAUGCACAACUAAGUGACCGUUGGAGGUCAGACAUGAUCUAGGUCGUCAGAUCAACGUGGGGGAGCUCACAACUGUUGGAUCAAUACAAUAAGGACACAAGGAUUUUUCAUUGAAAAAUCGAUGAAAAAUUGUAGCAGUUGACAAUUUAUUGUGCGUUUCGUCGAUUAAUCGCCAAAACCUGAAAUUUCGUAAAAACAUAACGAUUUUGUUGGAUAUUUCUACCAUUCGACACUUGUUUCAUUUCCACAACCCCCAAAAUGCAAUACUUCGAUGAAAUUUCGUUGAAAUUUAUGGAAAAUUUCAUCCAUGCACCUAGGUUUGUCUUUCCACUAAGAAGUUCAUUCAUUACGUUCUGACCAUGAGAGAGAUUGACAUUAGACAUUUUAUCUUGGAUGUCAUGGGAUCGCAUAACUCUAAUGCUUGCACUAGUGGCUCACUUUUCUUGAUUCUGAUAUCUCAUAUUCUUUUGGAGCAUGGGCUUGACUGAGUUUGAGCAUGAGCUUCCAAUUCUCCACUAGCAUGCCCUAAUUGAUUGGUUCUCUUGGUUCAUACAUGUGAGUCAUGCAUAUCACUCCACAUGGGAUUGAGGUAGAUGAGGAGGUUGAGAUUUGAGAUGCUAAGCAAGGCAUUGAUGAGAUAUGACCUUUUAGCUUACCAAUUCAACCUUCACUUGGUCGUGCUAGAGAGUGUGGUUGUGGAGCAUUUUCUUUAACUUGAUCGGGUUCUACUAAUGCUUCUAGAAUUCCACUAGUACCACCAGCUACUCAUCCAACCAUCCUUGAUCUUCGACAUAAGCUUGUUCUCAUCGUGGAUGGUACUGCAGUUACCAUGACUUUCAUUGAUUGAAGGAUGUAGAGGGUGGAAAAGAGACUUGACACCUUAGAGUCAUGGGUUGUUGCAUAGCCUAGACCAAGUUCUCAUCAUUUUCCACCACCAAUUGCAACUUUGUAGAUUUGCAUCUUUGUUAUAUUAGGUUUGGUGACGUUGUUAUUGGAGUUUAGGGCCCUUUAUUGUACUAUUUAUUUUGUCAUAAAGUUGUCAAAAAAGAAAAAGAAAAAAUAAAGAUUGUUAAUGUAUUAGUUUUAGGUUGACAAUUUUAUUUCAUUUCUUAUUGUAACAGGUAUACCAUAUUUCCAAGUGUCUUAUCAUUUUUCAAUCAAAUUAGAUAAUUUCUAAAAUUGAUAAAGCAUGAGGUGUGUAUGCACUAACAAUUAUUAAAGUUCAUUAUACCAUAUUUCCAAGGGUCUUAUCCGAUUUCAAUCAAUUUGGAUACUUUCUAAAAUUGACAAAACAUGAGGUGUGUAUGCACUAACAAUUAUUAAAGUUCAAGGAAUUUGAAUGUCAUAUAGAGAGCAUUCAAAUGUCAUAUAGGAUGUUCAAAAGCUUCUUAUGGAACAUUCGAACCUCUAUGCCAAUAUUCAAACACUUAGAUGGUGUUUGUUUGUUUGUUUUUUUUACUUAAUUCUAAAUAGAAAUUAAAACUAAAUGAUGCUUAAUAAUGUUAAGUAUUAGAUUUUUUGUUUUUGUUAUAUUUUAUUUCUAUUAAGCAUUAAAAAGUAAAGAAAAUCAACAUAUUAUUUUUUCCAUUUUUAAAAAAAGUCAAAUAUUUUGACUUUUUCUAUUUAGCAAAAAAUUUAUAAUAAGUUAUGAAAAAAAUAUAAAAAACAAAUAACCUAAAGUUUGAAAGUAAAUUACUUUUAGUAAAAAUCUAAAAAACUAAACACCUUUUUAAUGUGGGACAUUUGAACUUUGGUAUUUUAUUUUAAGUAAAAAAAAUAAUUUUGUCUUUACAAUUUUUAAGGGCAUUUUCAUAAAAUUAAAGAUAAAAUGUUCCAAAUGUUGUUCGAAAUGUUAGCCCUUGGUUUUUCGUAUAAAUAGAUUUUUUUUAUUGAAAAUUGGGGCACAUGAGAUAAGUCAUCUCUAUAGUUGUAGUACUUUAUCUUUCAAUGUUUCAAGACAAUUAUUGAAAGAAACCAUGUGAUUUAGAAGUUGAUGAUUUGACACAUUGAAGUCUCGAUACUUAAUUCAUUAAGAAGCAUAAGGGUGUGUUGUGUUGAAAACGUGAAAAAGAAGUGUAGUUACAUAAACUAUAAACAUGCAUUUGAUUGGACAAAAACAAGUACCAUUUUCUCAUAUUUUAGUGGACUAUUUGUUUUAAAUAGACUUUCUGUAAUGUUUUUACAUCUAGAAGUUUUUAGGUAGUUUUUUCACAUUAGCUCACGUGUCCUUUCAUGAAAUUGAAUUUGCAUAUGCAUGAAAUUAAUCAACCUUUACUCAUAUAAGUAUAUAAAAGUAGGGAUAAAAUUUUUAGUUUAGGAGCAAUUUUUGCUUGGAGUGCUUAUUCACUCACUCUUAGAUAUAUCAAGACAAAUUCUUUCAUUAUGUUUAUAAAAUCCUAAUUAUUUAGUUAAAAACUUAAUUGUAUCCUAAUUUUAGAGUUUGUUUAAAAUGCUUAACUUUUAGGGAGAAUUGUGUUUUGGGUCAGGUGGGCCCAAAAAUUAAUAAAAGAUCUUCCAAACACUUAUAAUUGAUUGUAAGGAUAUAAGGUUGGAAUAGACAAAAAUACCCCUUUUUACUUACACCCAUCAUUUUGUCUUUAUACCACCACUCUUUACAUGCACCAUCCAUAAAAUUCUCCUUUAUUUAAUCAUUUUUUUAUUUUUUAUUAUUUUUUAAACUCCUUUAAAAAUAAUUGAAAAAUGAACAUUAUUUUCUAUUUUUAAAUUAUAAAUAAAUAAAAAUUAUAUUAAUGAUUCAAAAAUUAUUUUGGAACAUACUUUUGAAAAAAAAUAUUAAUUUAAAUGAAUAAAAAUUAUUUUUUACAUUUUACAAGUAAAUAAUUUAAUGAUUAAAACACUAUUUAAAAUAAAUAUAUUUACUAUUUUUUUUCUUUUAUACUAAAAAGUAUUUUAAAGUUUAUUUUUUUUAUUAUUAUAAAAUAAAAAGUUUAAAGUUUUUUUUUUAAUCUUUUUCUUUCCAUAGUUUAAUAAUUUUUUGAACAUAGACUUUUGUAAUAAGUUAUAUGAAUGUUCCAAAUUUGUUUAUUAAGGAAUUUUUUUAAUGAUUUGAAUUAAUUGAAAAUUUAUUGAAAUGAGAAAAAAGAAAAAGAGAGAAAGAGGAUAGAUGAAGAGUUUUUAUUUUAAAUAUCCAACUAAAAUGUUUUCGUAUUUAGAAAUGAAUUAUAUCAAUACAUAGUAUAGUAGAGAUUGAUUUUUUUCUCAUAUAAAAGGGUUAAAUGAUAUGUUUACUCAUUUUAAAUAAAAACAAGUAGUUAAAAAUUAUAUAGAUUAUGUUUGAGAUUGGUUUUAAAAUAUUUUUUCUAGUUUUUAUUAUUUUUUUAUUUUUAAAAAUUAUUUUUAUUUUCUAUAUUGUCUCUUUUUGAAAAUACAUUUAAUUAAAAAAAUGAAAAAUAUUUUUAAAAAUGAAAAUUGAAGACCUUGUUUAAUACUAAGAUAAUAAAAAGAAUUAAAUUUCAUUUAUUAAUUAUUCUUUUUUAUUUUUAAAAUAUAAUAUGUUCACAAUUAAAUAAAGGAAUUGGUCAAUUGUAUAUUUUUUUUCACAAAAAUGUAAUAUGUUCAUAAAAAAAUUGGAUUGAAGUUUUUCAUUAUUUUUUUAAUCAAACUACUAGAAUCAUGUUUAAUACAAAUAUAGACAUAUAUGCACUACGGGAAUAUGAAAUUUGUGUCACUAUAUAAGAGUAUUUACUAACUGUAUAAGGGAAAUAUACUAAGUGUACAAGCAGUGUAUAAGAUUACCAUUUAUAAAAGAUUUCAAUCUAUUUUUAACCACUCCUUUAUUUUCCUUGUCACCCACAAAUUGCAUACUCAUGUCAUGCACUUUAUUUAACUCCCAUAUGGAAAUUCCGAUACUUUCCCCAAUAAUGAUGUUUGGGAAAAAAAAAAAAACUAACCCUAAUUCAUCCAUCCUUUUAUUAGUUAAACCAUUAGAAAUAUGGUUAACAUACCUACAUGGACAUAUUACUUAGGAUAGAUGUAUUGUACAAUGGUAUUACACUAAUUGUACAAGGGAAAUGUACUAAGUGUACAAGGAAAAUGUACUAAGUGUACAAGGGUGUACAAGACUACCAUCUAUAAAAAAUUUUAAUCGAUUUUGAAUCACUUUUUCAUUUUCCUUGUCACCCAUAGAUUGCAUACCUAUGUCAUGCAAUUUAUUUAACUUUCACAUGGAAAUUUCGAUAUUUUUCUUAGUAAUAAUGUUUGGGGAAAAAAAAUUUAAUCCUAAUUCAUCCACCAUUUUAUUAGCCAAACCAUUAGAAAUAAGAUUAAUAUACCUACAUGGACACACAACUUAAGAGGGAUAUAUUGCACCAUUGUACAAUGAUGUUACACUAACUGUACAAGGGAAAUGUACUAAAUGUACAAGGGAAAUAUACUAAGUGUACAAGGGUGUACAAGGUUACCAUUUGUGAAAGAUUUUAGUUAAUUUUGAAUCAUUUCUUUAUUUUCUUUGUUACCCAUAAAUUAUUUAUGAAAUUUGCACUAUUAUAUAAGGGUGUUACACUAACUAUAAAAGAGUAUUCCAAAAUUAAAGUGUUUAUUACAAGUAAACCGAAUAAAAUAUAUAUUUUUACUAUUUUACCUUUAUAAACAUAAUGUUAGUAGAUAUUAAAAAAAUCAUAUUUAAAUAGAAUUAAAAAGGAUAAAAAAUUAUCUUUGUAACAUUUGUAAUUUUUUAUUAUAAAAAAUCAUUAAUUUAAAUUAUCAAGUUAACUUAAAAUAAUUUUUUUGUUGUAAUUAUAGUUUUGAAGAUUCUACGAUUUUUAUAUUAUUACUUUUAAUUUAUUUUCUUUGAUUUUUUAUUUUAAAUUUCAUCUAAACUUGUUUUUUCUUACAUUUAUAUGUUUUCUAUUAUAUCCUUAUUUAAAGUGAUUUUCAUCUAAUUUGUGUUCCAUUAUAUUCUCUUUUCAAUUUUAAUGUGUUGUUAUGCCUCUUUACAUAACAAAAGAUUUUGUUAUUUUUCAUCUACAAAACUUUAUACAAAAGAUAUCAUGUACGAGGAAAAAAAUAAAAAAAAGAGAAAAUUAUGAUAUAAUUUACAUACACAUCUCUUAAUAUGAUACAUUUACUUAACUUAAUGACAUCAUGUUUUAAUAAUUUAAACCAUGUCAAGUCCACAUCUAUUUUAGAUUUAAAAGGGCAUUUGAAUAUUUUUCAAAUUAUUAAGUUAUAAUACAUUAUUCAAUUAAAAAUUAAUUAUCACCAUUAGUUAAAAAAUGAUCAUGUUACAAAAUAAUAUAUUAAGAUAAUAUCAAUGUAUUGUCCAAAAAAUAGAGAAAAUAUUCAAAUAAUUGUCUACAACCUUAAAGAUAUUUAUAUAUAUAUUGGAUAAAAAAGAAUAAUAAUAUUUUUUAAAUAUUUAUUAUAUAUUUUGUAAGUUUAAAAAAAAUUAUGAGGUAUUUAAAAAAUAUUUACUUUAAAAAUAUAGUAAUAAUCAUUUUCAACCAUUGAUUUCCAAUAUUUAAUUUAUUAGGCAUGGUUUUUGGGAGAAAAAUAAUUGAUGAAAAUAGUAACACUUUUCUAUAAAAGAAUUAAUUUACAUGUCCCACCAAUUAAUAUGUGAGAGAAAAAGACAAGGUGAAUGAUGAAAGAGAGAGGGAAAAAAAGAAUGAAAGAGAGUAGGAAAUUAGUUGUUUUCUUUUUCUUUUUGACAAUAAAGGGCAUUUUCGGAAAAUUGAAUGUUUCAUAUCCUUCUUUUCAAUUUGUAAACUUUCUUUAGGUGUUGGGCUUAAAUAUGGAACUUAUGAGGAUCUUUUAUUAAUUUUUGGGCCUAGCUGGGCCCAAAACACAAUUCUCCCUAACUUUGAUUGAAUUCAUGUAAGUUAUGUAAUAACUCGCUCCCAAUCAUGUAGAUAUUGUUUAUUUUAAGCCUAAACAACAUUCACUACUUUAAAACACGUUUACAAGGUUAAGAAUAGUCCAUACUUAUAUAGUCACAAAAACUUUUUCUCAUAUCUAAUGUGAGACAUCAUAAUCACUUCCUUUAUAUACAAUGUCUUUGUUAUAUUUCAUAGGACUGUGGGGUUAAAUAAACAAAUACCCCUUAAAAAGUCAAACAAACCCUCACAUCAGAAUUGGAAUUGACUUUGAUACUAUUUGUAAUGACUCACUCCCAAUUGUGUAGAUACUGUGUACUUUGGGUCCAAAGACUCUCAUGACUUUAAAAUGCAUUUAUAAAAUUAAACGAAGUCCCUUACAUAGCCCAAAGAACUUUUUUUCACCUAUUUAAUGUAAGAUAUCAUCACAAUCAAUUAUCAUGUUGAUACAACGUUCUCAUUGUAUCCUAUGAGAUUAUGAGGUCAAACAUAUAGACAGCUGUGGACCCGCAUUUUUUAUGUGCGUCCCAACUCGAAUGACGAGACUCGUUCUUCUAUUUAUUUGUGAAAAUUUGAUUUUUUUGAAAAUUUGAUUUUUUUAAAAAAAACUUGGGGUCGCCGCUUAUUUUAAUUUUUUUUAAAGGUAAAACAAAAUAAGAAAGAAAACCAUGUGUGACUGCUUAUUUGGAAAAGACAUGUCUACAAAAACCGAAUUUGGAUUUAGGGAUCAAGUUACCUAUUAGGAAGGUACGGUGGUGAGCCGUAGCACCCUUCUAAGCCCAUAUACAUACGGUCUCUACUAAAUGAAUUAAGGAAAUUGUGACAAUUAAUUAAUUAAUCAUGAACACCAAGAUUUAAGGAAUAAAACAAUAUACACAAAAAUAAUGAUGAAAUCUAACUACAAGAAUACACAAAAUAAAUGAUAAGAGGAUUAUGCAAAUUGAUUUAUUGAAUUGAUUAAAAAAAUAUUUUUUUUCAAGAAAUUUCAAAGGAGUUUAAAAAAAUUUUCAAAUUAAUGAUUUCAAUUUAUUUAUUUACAAAAAAAAAAGUUUAAAUUAAUGAUUUGAUUCAAUUUCACUUGUAUUCAAUUUUUUUAAAAAAAAGUUAUUUACACUUAUUGUAUCAAAAGAAUUUAUUAUAAAAUUUCAAUUUGGGUACAAAAAUUAUUUUUACUUGCUUUUACUAGAAAAGAAUGAAUUUUUACAAUUUUAUUUACAAAAGUAUUUCAUUUUUUUUUUCAUUUAAGAAAAGUAACUUAUACAAAUUAUUAAUAUAUAUAUAUAUAUAUAUAUAUAUAUAUAUAUAUAUAUAUAUAUAACUUUAUUUUUAAAAUAAUUUUUAAUUAAAAAUUAAUUUUUGGGACAACUUUAUUUACAAAACAGUUUUUGGACAAUUUUUAUUAAACAAAGAAAUUUUUGAACAAUUAUUAUUAAAAACAUUUUUUUUUGGAUUUUUCUAAAAGUAUUUUUCUGAAUUUUUAUUAAUAAAAAACUUUCUUUUAUUAAGAAGAAUAUUUUAAAAUUAAUAUUUUAUUAAAACAUGUUUAUUGAAUUAUUCCUCUUAUUUAAACAAAAUUUCUGAUUUGUUAGAUAUCCAAUUAUAUACACAAUAAAUAUAUACAAACAAAUAUUUACAUAAACCAAUAAAAAUAAAAUCAAAUAGUAGUGGGAAAUAAAACAUGUACUCAAACAAGCUUAUAAUAAACUCAAUGUCUCUCUACGACUUUUCGAGUCCCGCUUUCUUCCAUGAAAUUUUGUGCACUACCUAUCAUAAAUUCAUACUUAGCCAACAUAAUUGCAGAAUGGACUAAUGCAAAAAAAAAAAAAAAAAAAAAAAAAAAAAGAAGUCAAAAUGUAAAUAUAUAAAAAUGAACAAAGUUCCAAAACAAAUAUUCAGGUCCAAAUUCAAACUUCAAAUUAGUUCAAUAAAUUUCGUCAAUCAAAAUGGGUUUAAAUUAGCAAAUAUAACCCAAUAAAAAAUAUCUCACAUGUCAUAGGCUCUAAUAAAAAAUUUUCAAAUUAAUAAUCAAAAUAUAAGCUCAAUUAAUCAAACUCAAAAUAUGAUAAAUUAAAAUAAAUCUCAUUAGGCCUAAAUUUAAUAUCUCAUAAUCCAAGCCUAAUUUAAUAUACAAACUUAAAUCCACAACUAAAAUCAACCCAAUUUAAUAUGUAAACCCACAUCCAAAAUAUACCACAAUAUUAUAUCAUAUCUAAAUUAAAUAAUUCAAAUAAAUACAACCAUAUAAAAAUUAUCAACUAAUCUAACCAAAAUUAACAAAUUCUAAAUUAAUUCACCAAUAAUAAAUUAACCCAAAUUUCAUAUUAAUUUUCCAAUAACAAAUUAACUCAAAUUCCAUAUUAAUUAACAAAGCUCAAAUUUCAUAUUAAUUCAAUAAUUCAAAUACCAUAAACAACAAUUACUAUUAAAAUCAAAUCAAGAAAAAAGAAAAAAGAAAAAAAGUAAUAAUAAUAACAACAACAACAUUAAAAUCAAAUCAAGAAAAAAAAGAAGAUAAAAGUAAUAAUAAUAAUAAUAAUAAUAAUAAGACAAUAAAAAAUGGAAAGAAGAAAAUGGGAGAAAAAAGGAAUGGAGAGGUGUUAGAAAUGGCGUCGACAUCACACCACCGACAAUGGCGAUGAAGACUAUUGAAGAUGGGGAAGUAGUGUGGAGAAGAAAAAUGGAAGAAGAAAAUGAAGAAUAAAAAAAAAAAAAAAAAAAAAAAGGGGAGAAGAGUGGAAAGGAGUGUGGUCGUGUGGCCCGUGGGGAGUGGUGUAGGGGGAGAGAAAAGAAUGAAGAAGAACGGGGAAGAAGAAGAAAAAAAAAGAAAAAAAUAAUAAAAAAUAAAAAUAGAGGGGAUAGAGGUGUGAUAGUAGGAAUUGGGGUGUGGGAAGAGAGAGAGAGAGAGAGAGAGAGAGUGGGUGAGGUGGUCGGGGAAGGUAGGAAGAGAGAAGAGAGAGAAAAGAAAAAGAAAAUAAAAAAAUAUAAUAUAAUAAUAAUAAUAAAAUAAAAUAAUAUACAAAAUAAUAAAAAACUAAGAAUUAAAAUGUGAGAGGGUAAAAACAAAUGUAAUUGAGUUUAAAAUUUAUUGAUUAAAAAGAUGAAGAAGACCAAGGAAAAAAUAAUAAUAAAAAAUAAAAAUAGAGGAGAUAGAGGUGUGAUAGUAGGAAUUGGGGUGUGGGAAGAGAGAGAGAGAGGGUGGGGUGGUUGGGGAAGGUAGGAAGAGAGAGGAGAGAGAAAAGGAAGAAAAGAAAAAGAAAAUAAGAAAAUAUAAUAUAAUAAUAAUAAUAAAAUAAAAUAAUAUAUAAAAUAAUAAAAAAUUAAGAAUUAAAAGAUAAGUAGGUAAAAAGAAAAUCAAAUAUAAUCGAGUUUAAAAUUUAUUAAUAAAAUUAAGUUCAAAAUUAAUAUAAAAAUAAAAUUUGAAUAAAUUUUGAAGUUUAUAUUACCAAACAAAUAAACACUCCUAACUAGAUCAAACAAACUCUGGAAUUGAGGAUCAAUUUUAAUACCAUUUAUAACCAAUCCCUUCCAAUUGUUUAAAUAUUUAUUCGUUUUUAUGUCCAAGAGGCAUUACAACUUUCAAACACGUCUGAAAGGUUAAAAGAAUUCAUAAUUAUAUGACCUUAAAAUUUUUUUCCCUUUUCCAUGUAGUAUAUCACCGAUUCUUUUUGACCUUUAAUACACUAUAAGUUAGAAUAUAUAUGCAUGACAGCUGCAAGGUUUGUUUGAAGGACAGUGCCUUUUGACUUGUACUCUCUAUGAGGGCGGCAGUUUUGUUGGUUGAACCUCUGCUGGAUUCCCACGUUACAGCUGCAUCUUCUUUAUUUUUUUCCUUUUUCUUUUUGGUUUUUUUUUUUCCACAGGAAACCAGUGAGAAAAUUUUGUUGAUAGCUAGGCUUUAGCAAAUCAGGUAAAAAAAUUAAUUAAAUCGUAAUUAUUCUGAUUGUAAUGAAACAAUUACAAGUGAAGUUUAGAAAAUCCUUAUCAACUUAAUUGAGAAGCUGAAAACUGAAGGCGAUCAGAUGGAUGAAAAUAUGUCUUCUUGAUCGACCCUGCUUCGUUUAACCCAUCUGCCAGAAGUACUAUUAAAGAUCAUAAGCCCCUUGUUAGGCACUUGGUACCAGUUUUCUGGAAUCCCUAGCUCCUCAAUCAGCAUGCCACUGUUCUUGUUCACCAAUGCAAUGUCUCUUCGAGCACCUUUCUGGAAACUGGAAUCUUCUCUAUGGAACCCAUCAAGGAGAUGCAGGUAUAUCUCUAGGUUAUGGCAGUCUUUAUAACUGAAUUUUCUCUUUAGAUAGGGAGACGAUGUCAUAUCAAGAGCUAGCUCCUCGCCCACAUGUGUGUAGACCCAUUUCCUUGUUCCAGUGAGUGAGAGGAGUCUCUGAAGGAUCUUGGUUGACAUAAACUUUUCAGGUAGUGUUGGAACUUUAUCUUGCUUCACUACAAUGCGCAGGGUUCGCACUUUCAUUUCAUCGAUCUUGUCCCUAAAGGCGAUAUUCCCGACCUGUGGAGCGCCAAAUGAAAUGACAGUGAUGGGAAGAUCAGGCAGCGUAGCAGCAGCUUCAUAGGCAUUGAGGAGAGCUAAUGCACCACCUAGGCUGUGGCCAGUGAUGGUGAAGCUUACUUCUUCACCCCUUUCUCCAUAAAACUUCACUAGGUUUUUCACUUCUUCCAUGACUUGUUCAGAUGCACUAAACUUGUUGUAUCUAGUGGACUCGCUUUUGGAGCUGUAAAUCUUGUGGAACCCAUAUUCAACCAUAACAUCUCCCUCCCCAAUAUGCAGUAGCUUUGCCUCAAAAUCUAAGACCCAUUCAGACACUGCAACUGUCCCUCGCCACGCCAUAACUAUAUCCCUUCUUCCAAUCCUUUGGGAUUCAUCAUCAGUGCUGACAGCAACAAAGCCUAUCCAAUUGGAAUCUUUGCUCCAUGUUUGGGUGAACUGCGACCUCUCCAAGUAAUGGAGACCUCCAACGUGGGACAUAGCAUAGAUGUAUUUAGUCACUUUGUAACCAUGUUUAGUAAGGUGCAAUUCAUCAAAAAGUUUGUGCCUUUCGCAUUGACAAUUCCCAGAAUCAUUAUUGAAUGCAUCAUAAGUUGCUUGUGCAAAUUCUCCAUACUUAACUAUCUCCCUUCGAAGCCAAGGGUGAAGGGGAUCGAGAAGAUGUUCCCAUUUGCUUGAACCUGCAUGAAGUUCGUGCCAUUUGUUAGACAUGUUCUCCUCGAGGUACCUCGUUGGAGUCAUAUAAUAACCCGGCCCGUCGACAAGAUCCGAUGCUGUAUACUUCAGGCUUGCCACUGACUUGGGAACUUCAUGUUUCCAAGUUAUUGGCGCCCACAUGUUCUCCUUGAGGGACCUCGUUCGAGUCAUAUAAUCAUCCCGCCGGUCGACAAAUUCUGACACUGUAUACAUCAGGCUUGCCGACUUGGAGUCAAGUGAAGCGUAUUUCCUAAGCCCUGAGCAUUGAAAUGGCUGCGCAGAGGCAUGGCAGUCAACGACCUCGGGUAGCUGUUUGAAUCUGGAUUCACGUAUUAGAGGGAGAUGAGGCAUGGACAUGGCAGAUUACAGCGCCUUAUUUACAGCAAUCCAAUUGAACCCAGACUUUUACACGCUUGUGCACCUCUUCUUCUCCUUUCCUCUCCUGGUCCUUUCCUCUCUUGCAAUUUGAUUGAAUGAUGUUAAUUUUUAUGGGUUGGAUGCAAUAAGCCUAGAAAGUGGUUUAUAUAAGGCUCACAGCUAGCUUAAUUUCAUGGAAGCUGGCUCUGAAGUUUGAACUUUCAAGCACUGCUAGUUCUUUGGAAAGCUAAUGAGUUUUUGGAAAUUCCAGUGUGGACUCUUUCAUACUGGUGUCAUGAAUUCUUGGCAAGUCCAGUGUGGACUCUUUCAUACAGGUCUCCUUUAAUUUUUAUAUCUUAAGAAAGGUCAUUUCGCCGAAGGCACCAUUCCAUGUAAACCUUUCCCAUAUUCGGAGUCCAACAAUGAACUCAUCAAGGGCAGUCAACCCAUAGACCAUGUGGGGGAUAAUUGAGCUUUCCUCUCUACUGGGUCCAACUAGCUGGUUGGUAAGACUGAACUAGCCUAUGGCUAUUAGUCGCUGCUACUAGUCCUUUGGAAAGCGCGUACUCAAUGUGACAUUUUCCAAAGGCACCAUUAAAAUAUAAUUAAUUGACAUUUCCCAUCUUCUAAAUUUCUAAUAUAACUAAGACUUGGAGCACCUUCCAUGCAAAAUGUUAAAAUAAUAAUAUUAAAAUUAUUUUUUGGCAUUGACAAUGACCUUAUAAUACAAAAAUUAAAAGGUUCCUUUUCUUCCUGGUGGUCAUACUCAUAGCUGGAAAGGUUCUUAGUGAUUGAACCUAUGGCUCUUAAUCUGUAGACCAUGUCAAGGUUUGAAGUAUUAAUUCAUAUACGAGGAAUUUGGUUGAUCGAAUUGCCUUUUCUCAUACUGCUAUAUUACUGUGUUAACAACCAAUACUGUAGGAAUAUAUGAUGAUCUAAACUUUUUGAACGAACUUAUUUGAAACAUACGUACAUGUACUCAAGAUAGGCUUAAUUUUUAGCCCACUUAGAAGUCCAAAGCCUUGAAAAUGCUCCGAUAAAUUUCAAUUAUUUCUCUAGGUAAUUGAAUUAUUUAAUUACUCACCAUGGUUACUUUAUGUUUAAUUUUGCUAGAUAAUGGUAUAUGAUAUCAGUUAAUUAAUAAUCUACAUUUGAAUGUUUUCGGGUAAUGAAGUGAAAUUUUUGCAAAUAUUGUAGAAAAUUGCUCCCUGGCUGUAUGUGAGGUGUAUUUCCCAUUUCUUAUUUGGAUGGUUUUAGGUAGUAAAGUGAUAUUUUUGUUGAAGAACUUGGACAGAUUGGUAGUAAAAUUGCAACUUGGAUGGAUUGGUCGGAUUAAUGGCGAACUCGAAUCCAAACUUGAAUUAAGAAACAAUCAACCCAACUUGACAUCUAAUAUGAGGUACUCAAUCCAAAUCCAACCUAAUCUUUUUUUUAAAACUCAGGUGGAAUUUGGGUUGAUUGAAUUAAACUCAAAUUUGUUAGAUUAAGCUUGGGUUGGUUGGGUUAAAUUCGGGUUGAUCCAAUUGAUUAAGUUGUAUAAUUCAAAAUCUAUCCAUCUUGGUUUUUUAAAAACUUAUUUGUAUAUAUUUAUACCAAAUUUUAAAUAGUAAAUAAAAUAAAAUUUCAAGAUAACAAUAAAAAAUAAAAUCACCUUAUAUAUCUUCUUUUUUUUAAAACGAAAAAGUAUAUGUAUAAUUAUAAUUUAAUUUUUCUUUAAAAUUUAAAAAGAAAAUUAAUAUUAUUACAUAGGAUAAUAAAUAUUAUAAAUAUUGUAAAUAUUAUAAAAAUAUUAAAUUAAGCUCAAGUUAUUUGAAUCUUAACUUAGCCCAACCAAAUUGAGUUUGGGUUAAAAAAAAUUUAACCCAAACACAAUCCAAGUAUUAUUAAAAAUGUUUACCCAAGUCCCCCCAAACAUUGAGUUUGGAUUAAAUGGGAUCAACUCAUCCAAGUUGCACCCCUAGUUGACAUAUUGUAAGAAAUUGUUUUUAAGAUCAUGUGAGUAAAUUGUCUAAUAUUUGAAUGCAUGAUUUUAGGUAGUGACAUGAAAUUUUUGCUAAUAUUGUUGGAAAUUGCUCUCAAGAUAUAUGAAGUGUAUUGAUGAUUUAUUAUUUGGAUUAUUUUAAGUAGUGAUGUGAAAUAUUUACCAGCAUAUUCACUAUAGAAAAAGGGCAUACAGCUAUGGAGUGACCCUUACCAAAGAUUAUAAAUGGUGUGACUUUAACAAAUGGUGACACACUGAAGUAACUGCCACUACGUGUGACCAUAGGUAGUGCAACUAUAUCUUAUAGUUGUGGCUGGCAACCUCAAGUAACUUACAAAUUAAAAUAUAUAGGGGGGAAAUAUUUUUCAACAUUUAUUGAUAUCUCGCGAUAUUUUGGGCAGUCAACACAAUCUGAUCAAACUUUAAAAAUUGCUUAAAUUUUAAGUCGCCAUGGAGGCUUGAACCCCAAAAGGUUUUUCAACAAAAGGUUUAACCUAUGUUAAGCCAACUACUAGGGUAAGUUUGCCCUUGAUAUAUAAGUUGCAUCAAAUAUAUAUAUAUACACACUCAAAUUUAUUGUAUAAACAUAAUUAAAAAAAAUGUUUAAAAGAACAAAUUAAUUAUUUUAUAAUUAAAUGAAAAAAAUUCAUCUAUUUUUUAAUACCAAAAAUGUAAAAAUUAUCGUGAUAAUUUUCUUUAUAGUGUUUUUAAUAUCAUUAAUAUAUUAAUUAAGUAUUAAAAAUUAUACAUAUAUUAUCAUUUAUUUUAUAUCAUUUAAUAUAAUUGAAUUAAAUGAAUUAUAAUUUUAAUAUUAUAUAUAUUUUUAAAUUAGACAUAUUAUAAUUAAAUAUCACAAUAUUAUUAUCGAAUAAUAUUUGAUAUAAUUUAAUAAUAAAUAUAUACUUAUGAAAUUUAUAUUUUUUUAUUAACACAUAUAAUAUUAUUAUCAAAUAUAAUAAAUUAUAUUAUAUAUAUAUAUAUAUAUAUCAAUUUCUUGAACAAAAUAACUUUAAAAUAUCUAUUAUACUUCUAAUUUUAUUUUUAAGAGUUUUUUUCUUAUAUUUUUAUAAUUUUUGAUCAAUUUUAGGUUCACAGAUAUUUUGUAUUAAAAUAUCCACCGAUAUAUAUAAAAUGAAAGUACCGAUACAUCUGUAAUUAUCGAUGUUUUCAUCCUUGCUUACAACAUAUUUGUUGCUAUAGUUCAUUUGACCCUCUAAAAGUUAUUAUUUGUUUUAUAGUUGCAAGUAAAAGUUAGCCGUAAUUAUAGCUUGUCAUUUGUUGCCCAAAGCUAACGUUGUUUUUUGUAGCACAAUAGUUUCAGAUUCUUUUAUAUAUAUAUGCUGAAAUGCAGAUAAGGGAUGUUAGAAAUAUAGAAUAAUUGUAUUCUAUUCUGUGAAUAAAAGAGUAUACAUCAGUGCCUUUAUAUAGGAGGCAUAUAUGUGUAGUACAAGGGUGCAGUACAAAGGUGUAGUACAAGUGUAGUACAAAGGUGUAGUACAAGUGUAUAGUACAAGUACUAUACAAGUAACCUAACUGGGCCCCUGGGCCUAGAGCCCACAAUACAAUAUACUUUAACAGCCCCCCUCAACUUCAAGGUGGAUGUGAGACCAACUUGAGGUUGUCAACUAAAUCAUGAGUGCGUCUCUUAGGAAGAGACUUGGUGAAGAUAUCUGCAAGUUGAUCUUUGGAGGAGACGGAGAAAAGCUUAAGAGCACCAUGGAGAAGAUGAUAACGGAUAAAAUGACAAUCAAUCUCGAUGUGUUUAGUCCGUUCAUGAAAGACAUCAUUGUGAGCAAUAUGAAUAGCACUCUGGUUGUCACAAUAAAGAGGACNNNNNNNNNNNNNNNNNNNNNNNNNNNNNNNNNNNNNNNNNNNNNNNNNNNNNNNNNNNNNNNNNNNNNNNNNNNNNNNNNNNNNNNNNNNNNNNNNNNNNNNNNNNNNNNNNNNNNNNNNNNNNNNNNNNNNNNNNNNNNNNNNNNNNNNNNNNNNNNNNNNNNNNNNNNNNNNNNNNNNNNNNNNNNNNNNNNNNNNNNNNNNNNNNNNNNNNNNNNNNNNNNNNNNNNNNNNNNNNNNNNNNNNNNNNNNNNNNNNNNNNNNNNNNNNNNNNNNNNNNNNNNNNNNNNNNNNNNNNNNNNNNNNNNNNNNNNNNNNNNNNNNNNNNNNNNNNNNNNNNNNNNNNNNNNNNNNNNNNNNNNNNNNNNNNNNNNNNNNNNNNNNNNNNNNNNNNNNNNNNNNNNNNNNNNNNNNNNNNNNNNNNNNNNNNNNNNNNNNNNNNNNNNNNNNNNNNNNNNNNNNNNNNNNNNNNNNNNNNNNNNNNNNNNNNNNNNNNNNNNNNNNNNNNNNNNNNNNNNNNNNNNNNNNNNNNNNNNNNNNNNNNNNNNNNNNNNNNNNNNNNNNNNNNNNNNNNNNNNNNNNNNNNNNNNNNNNNNNNNNNNNNNNNNNNNNNNNNNNNNNNNNNNNNNNNNNNNNNNNNNNNNNNNNNNNNNNNNNNNNNNNNNNNNNNNNNNNNNNNNNNNNNNNNNNNNNNNNNNNNNNNNNNNNNNNNNNNNNNNNNNNNNNNNNNNNNNNNNNNNNNNNNNNNNNNNNNNNNNNNNNNNNNNNNNNNNNNNNNNNNNNNNNNNNNNNNNNNNNNNNNNNNNNNNNNNNNNNNNNNNNNNNNNNNNNNNNNNNNNNNNNNNNNNNNNNNNNNNNNNNNNNNNNNNNNNNNNNNNNNNNNNNNNNNNNNNNNNNNNNNNNNNNNNNNNNNNNNNNNNNNNNNNNNNNNNNNNNNNNNNNNNNNNNNNNNNNNNNNNNNNNNNNNNNNNNNNNNNNNNNNNNNNNNNNNNNNNNNNNNNNNNNNNNNNNNNNNNNNNNNNNNNNNNNNNNNNNNNNNNNNNNNNNNNNNNNNNNNNNNNNNNNNNNNNNNNNNNNNNNNNNNNNNNNNNNNNNNNNNNNNNNNNNNNNNNNNNNNNNNNNNNNNNNNNNNNNNNNNNNNNNNNNNNNNNNNNNNNNNNNNNNNNNNNNNNNNNNNNNNNNNNNNNNNNNNNNNNNNNNNNNNNNNNNNNNNNNNNNNNNNNNNNNNNNNNNNNNNNNNNNNNNNNNNNNNNNNNNNNNNNNNNNNNNNNNNNNNNNNNNNNNNNNNNNNNNNNNNNNNNNNNNNNNNNNNNNNNNNNNNNNNNNNNNNNNNNNNNNNNNNNNNNNNNNNNNNNNNNNNNNNNNNNNNNNNNNNNNNNNNNNNNNNNNNNNNNNNNNNNNNNNNNNNNNNNNNNNNNNNNNNNNNNNNNNNNNNNNNNNNNNNNNNNNNNNNNNNNNNNNNNNNNNNNNNNNNNNNNNNNNNNNNNNNNNNNNNNNNNNNNNNNNNNNNNNNNNNNNNNNNNNNNNNNNNNNNNNNNNNNNNNNNNNNNNNNNNNNNNNNNNNNNNNNNNNNNNNNNNNNNNNNNNNNNNNNNNNNNNNNNNNNNNNNNNNNNNNNNNNNNNNNNNNNNNNNNNNNNNNNNNNNNNNNNNNNNNNNNNNNNNNNNNNNNNNNNNNNNNNNNNNNNNNNNNNNNNNNNNNNNNNNNNNNNNNNNNNNNNNNNNNNNNNNNNNNNNNNNNNNNNNNNNNNNNNNNNNNNNNNNNNNNNNNNNNNNNNNNNNNNNNNNNNNNNNNNNNNNNNNNNNNNNNNNNNNNNNNNNNNNNNNNNNNNNNNNNNNNNNNNNNNNNNNNNNNNNNNNNNNNNNNNNNNNNNNNNNNNNNNNNNNNNNNNNNNNNNNNNNNNNNNNNNNNNNNNNNNNNNNNNNNNNNNNNNNNNNNNNNNNNNNNNNNNNNNNNNNNNNNNNNNNNNNNNNNNNNNNNNNNNNNNNNNNNNNNNNNNNNNNNNNNNNNNNNNNNNNNNNNNNNNNNNNNNNNNNNNNNNNNNNNNNNNNNNNNNNNNNNNNNNNNNNNNNNNNNNNNNNNNNNNNNNNNNNNNNNNNNNNNNNNNNNNNNNNNNNNNNNNNNNNNNNNNNNNNNNNNNNNNNNNNNNNNNNNNNNNNNNNNNNNNNNNNNNNNNNNNNNNNNNNNNNNNNNNNNNNNNNNNNNNNNNNNNNNNNNNNNNNNNAUAGUAGAUCCAGAAGACUGGGACGUGGAAACCGUUGGCGGAGUAGGUGCAGUAUUAGCAACAGCAGCAGUAGAUUGUUACGACGGUAACAAGUCUCAAUGGUGUGGCCAGGACGCUUGCAAUAGUUGCAGAACUUCUUGUUGGUUUGCUUGCGACGAUUGCUAGAGCCAGAAAAAUCACCUAAUUGCUGAGGUUGCUCUAUGAGUGGAGUAGAUGGAGUAAUAGCCAAAAUAUUGAGCUUAUUCUGGGCUUGAAGGGUUGCAAGACGAGCUUCUUCUCUAACCAACUCAUUCACAGCAGUAUCAAGAGAGGGAGCAGGACUGCGAUUUAACAGCUGACCACGAAUGGGCUCAAAGUCCUUGUGAAGUGACAUCAAGAAUUCAUAGAGGCGAAAUUCAUCUCUAAUGGUAGCAUAUUGCUGAGCAUCUGUGGAGCAUCCCCAAGUUGGAUCAGAAAGGUCAAUUUGGUCCCAAAUGAAGCGAAGCUGAUCAUAAUAGUCAUUGAUGGAUUGCCCCGGUUCUUGCCUGAGUUGAUGCAAUUCAACCACUAACUGAUAUUUCAUGGAUCCAUGAGUAGUGGAGUACCUUUUGGUCAACAUAUCCCAUGCAGAUUUUGCAUCGUCAAAGCUGCCCAAUAGGUUGGAAAUAGAGGGAAUGGAAGUGUUCCGGAUCCAUGUGAGGAUCAUGUGGUUAUGACUAUCCCAUUCAAUCAUGCGACUAAGAAAGACAGCAUCUUCUUCACUUGCUCCUUUGACAGGAAUAGUCAUUGCACCAGUACAAUAAUGCCAGAGCAUGCGGCUCUUAAGAAAACUGCGCAUAGCUUGAGACCAGGAUAAGUAAUUUUUAGUCCCCUCCAAUACAGUAUGGAUGGGGCGAGGAAGAAAAACAUCCUUCUUAUCCAUUUAGGGACGCAAUAUGCAAAAACCGACUGCAGAAAUGAAAUCUAUACGAAAAACUGGGUAAGGAGAACCUGGUCGGGGAAAAAGUCAACUGGACGGUCAACGGUCAAGGUUCGGUCAACGGCCAACGGUCAAAGUCAACGGUCAACGGUCAACGCUGGUCAACGGUCAAUGGUCAAACGGUCAACGACUGGAGAUGACAUCAGCAGAAAAAAAAAAAAAGAGGUCAGAGCAGUGGCUCUGAUACCAUGUUAGAAAUAUAGAAUAAUUGUAUUCUAUUCUGUGAAUAAAAGAGUAUACAUCAGUGCCUUUAUAUAGGAGGCAUAUAUGUGUAGUACAAGGGUGCAGUACAAAGGUGUAGUACAAGUGUAUAGUACAAGUACUAUACAAGUAACCUAACUGGGCCCCUGGGCCUAGAGCCCACAAUACAAUAUACUUUAAUAAGGGAAAAAUGAAAGUUUUCCUUGCUAGUUUUUUUCUAUGAUUUUGAUGAAUGAGGGCAUUUACUUUAUAAUAUGAUUUAGACCUCAAAAACCAUGGAUCUCUCCCUUCCCUCUCUUAUUGUGUUGAUUAUAUCAGCAACUUUGCUCAUGGUUGGCCUGGCCUCAGGGGAACGGUUCACAUUUUAUGGCUACCUGCAGCAGGUCUACCAUCCUUGCUUCACUUCCACCAUGGAAAAUUAGGCUCUUGUCAAAAACCUUUAUUGUCCAUUCUUCUUGGACCAUUAAGUGAACCCAUCUAGCCAAGUCGAAUCCACUCUUCUAAACUAGUUUUCCAGUUAGUAGUUCCAAGAGAAUCACACCAAACCCAUAUGUAUCUGAAUUGAAGGUGUUUUCGGAUGCAAGAUUACAUCAGAAACUUCUCGACUUCAAAUUACAUGAUAUAGGUUUUCAUGCAAGAUUUAAAAGAGCCUUCAUGGAUAGGUGUUUUGAGCCCUAUCCCCUACCCCUAUCCCUACCCAAAGAAAAAGGCAUAAAGAAACAAAAUCAUGCAUAACCAGUAAUUUUGAGAAAACCUCACUGCCAAUGAGAUUCAUUCCUCUUUUAAAUAAUAAAGAAAAUAAAUAAUUUAAAUGUUUAUUCUUAAUUAACUAUUAAUUAUAAAUUUAUUAUUAAUUUGAAUUAAAGUAGAAUGUAAAAAUUUGAAUUAGAGUAGGAGAUAGAGUUUAAAUUAUAAUAGAACUUAAAUAUAUAUGUAUGACUUUUUAACCUUCUUAGCACGCUUGGAUACCUGAAUAUAAUGCUACCAAUAAUUGUACUAAUGCACAUAUGUCUCUCUCCCAUCAAUUGGUACUAGUUGAAGUAAUGGAAAUUCACAUAUUUGUUUGAUGAGAAAUUCGAAAGAAAAAAAAAAGAUAUAAAAUCUAAAUAAGAAUAAGGAUCCCCCCUGGGAAUGAAAAUCUGCUCAUUGUUGCUCUUUUCACAAAAAAUGGAUAGAUGAAUUAAUGUAUUUAUUGGAUUCGUCGGGACCGACGAGGCUUGAACCCGUAGCUUCCACCUUGACCAAUUGAACUACAAUCCUAGGGAAAAAAAGGUGUACAUCCUACAUAUUCUUAUGAUUUAAUUCAACCAAUUUCUAUUUAGAAGUGUCGUCUUCUAUUAUAAGAGAGAUGCGAGUGAUAUAUUGAUUAUAUACACAGAUAUGCACUUUAGUGAUUACUAGUAAUCCUUUUGUUAUUGAGAAAUCGAUUGAUAAUCAAUCUUUCAAUGAAAAAAGUUUUUUUUUUCUUGACUCUUUUCCUUUCCUUGGGUCCUUGAUCAACUUCUCAUAAACGUUGUUCAUGGGGUAGAUCAAUGGGCAUCGAUUUGCAAUAAAGGGUGGACAAGACCUUUCAACUAAAUUGGAGUCGGAGAGAAAGAAAGAUAAUUAUUCUCUGAAGACAUAGCUAGGAAAAUUCAGGCUACACAUUUUCCCUAUCUAAUCGAGGGGAUAGCACUUGGUGGGGACUGACAGCCAAUAUUUACAAUUAUCAAUAAAAAUGUCAUAAUUUUCAUAAAUUCUUUUUACAGUAUUAUCCAAGGUCUCAUUUUCCUUCUCAAAUGAUUGAUCAACAUCCAUCCAACUCAAAUUCAAAUUUCCAACUCUUUGAAGACAAGUAAGUAUUUUUCAAAUUUCCAACUCCUUGAAGACAAGUAUUUUUCAUAUGUUUCGAAGGCUGAUCUAUAUCAUACCAAUUGAUCCCAUUGCCAAUUCUUUGAAGACAAGUAAGUAUUUUUCAUAUGUGUCAAAGGCUGAUUUGUAUCAUACCAAUUGAUCCCAUUGCCAACCACAUCAACGCCUAAUAUAAGUAAAUAAUAACAUUAAUAAAUAAUAAUAAGACAAAUAUUACAAGUUCUACCAAUAACAAUCUAUAAUGAAUGAAACCUUCUUAAUAAAAACGUACGCCCAUACCAAUUCUAGAUCUAACCACAUAAGAAAUAUUUUUUGGUAAUAAGAAAUAUUUUUUGGUAUAAAGAAUAAGUAGAUGCAUCAAGAAAGCAUAACAAAUGAUCCAUAGCUUUGAACCACUAAGUCAACAAAAUCUUAGUAGAAAAAGGAUAUAACUUGUUUUUACAUUAAAUAUAUUGAUAGGCUAUACCCAAAUAUUUCUAUGUAAUGCUAAUAUGUGACUGUUGUGCCCUUGUAUACAUAUGCAUGCAUACAUACAUACGUACCCAUCGAGACGUGCAUAUACAGAUCAUGUAGAUGUUACAGAUAAAGAAAAGAAAUAAUAAUGUUUCUGCUGAAACAAGUAAAAGGAGAACUGACUAAAUAUUGAUCGUCUAUCUUAUUCAACCAAAAAGAACUACCUUUAUAUAGACUUAUAUAUAACAAAUAAAAGCAAGAAAAUAGGCACUACAUAUCGUGCCAAAACUAACACCUACAGACUAGGAAAAUAAUAAACUAACUUGUUGAACACAACAAGUUCCCAAAAGACUAGGACAAAAGCUAGCAAACAACUUUUUCUCAACAAACUCUCCCUUAAACUGAUGUGUUCAAUCAUACAGUUUAAAAUACGCAGAAUUCUCCCUCAAAUUGAAUCUUCUAGAGUGGAAACUCCAAGUAACUUCCUCAGCUUCAAGAAGGCAGCCAAUUUAAGGGGUUUAGUAAAAAUAUCAGCAACUGGGUUUUCACUUUUGCAGUAGACAAGAUCAAUAACUCCAUCAUUGCUGAGUUCUCUUAAAAAAUAAUACUUCACGUCAAUAUGCUUGCUUUUUCCAUGUAACACGAGAUUUUUGGAGAGUUUGAUGGUUGAGCUGUUGUCACAAAAAAUUGUAGUAGCUCCCACUUGCUUGAGAUGGAGCUCUUCAAGAAUUUUCCUCAGCCAGAUAGCUUGACAAGCACAAGCUGUUGUUGCAACAAAUUUAGCUUCAGUGGUGGACAAAGUGACAAUCGGUUGCUUCUUAGAUGACCAUGAAAUAGCCCCUGUGCCCAGCAUAAAAACAUAACCCGAAGUGCUCCUCCUAUUAUCUUGAUCUCCUGCAUAAUCGUUGUCAGUAAACCCAAUCAAAUCUGACAUUUUACUCUUCUUGUAGAACAACCCAAAAUCUUUAGUUCCUUGCAAGUAACGACAGAUUCUCUUGGCAGCUAAAAAAUGCAACUCUGUUGGAUUCUCCAUAUAUCUGCUAAUUAGACUCACUAAGUGCAUUAUGUUUGGUCUUGUUGCAGUUAAAUACAUCAAACUACCCACAAUUUGCUUAUAGAUUAUGUUGUCCACCUUUUUUCCUCCGUGAUCUUUGUUAAGCUUCAAGCCAAACUGAGUUGGUGUACUAACAGGAUUACAAUCCUUCAUCUGAAACCUAUUCAAAAUUUCUCGCACAUAUUUCUUUUGAGAAAUAAAAAUUCCAAUAUCAGACUGCACCACUUCGAUGCCAAGAAAAUAAUGCAUCAUACCAAGAUCAGACAUUUCAAAUUCAACCAUCAUAGACUUCUUAAACCUCUCAAACAUGACACUAUCAUUGCCAGUAAAUAUAAGAUCAUCUACGUAUAAGCAAACAAUGAGCAUUUUCCCUCCAUUACUAACUUUGACAAAAAGUGUAUGCUCAUAUGGACAUUUUUGAAAACCUUCUUUCAAAAAAUAAGCCUCAAUGCGACUAUACCAAGCCCGUGGGGCUUGUUUUAAUCCAUAAAGAGCUUUCUUUAAUCUAUACACUUUAUGCUCAUUUUUAACCUUAAUAUAACCAGGAGGUUGAUCAACAAAUACAUGUUCUUCCAAGUUUCCAUGCAAAAAUGCCAAUAUGACAUCUAACUGGAAGAUAGGCCAUGAAUUCUGUGCUGCCAACGCGAUCACCAAUCUGAUUGUAUCAUGCCUUGCAACUGGAGAAAAAACUUCUUUAUAGUCCACUCCAAACUCUUGCUUGUAUCCUUUAGCCACCAAGCGCGCCUUGUACUUGUCAACUUCACCAUUCUCUUUCAACUUUGUCUUGUAAACCCACUUUACACCGAUUGUUUUGUGUCCUUUUGGAAGUUUAGAUAACUCCCAAGUAUUAUUUCUUUCAAUGGUUGCAAUUUCAGCAUCCAUGGCCUUCCGCCAUUUUGAUUCUUUGACAGCACUUUCGAAAGUUGUAGGGUCACAAUCUGAAAAUAUAGCAAAAUGAGUGAGUGGGUCUUCAGAUUGAUCAAUUCCAGUUACCUCAAAAUCUAACAUCCAUGCUGGCCGCUUUCGAACACGAUGAGAACUUGAACCAAUUGCUGUUUCAACCUGUUCAUCAAAUUCUGGUGUUGUUAGUGAAGUUUCAGCAGUAGUUGGAGCUUCAUUUGGUGGAAUUUCAGCUGCUGGAAUUCGUUGUUGUAGGGGCUAUUGUCUUUCUUCUUCAUUUUCACCAUCAAAAUCAGCUUGUAUUUGCUGUUUGGUAGUGUUGUCAUCCCAUUUCCAGAAACUUCCUUCAUAAAAAAUUAUGUCACAACUUAUGACAAUUUUCUUGGUGAUAGGAUUGUACAAUUUGUAUGCUUUUGACAUCUCACUAACACCAAGAAAAAUGCAUUUUUCUCCUUUGUCAUCAAGUUUUUUUCUUUUUUGAUCUAGAAUAUGAGCAUAUGCUAUGCAACCAAAGAUUCUGAAGUGGUUGACACUUGGUUUGCGUCCAUUCCAUGCUUCUUCAGGUGUCAUGUUUUGAACAACUAGAGUGGGACUUCUGUUCAAAAUGUGAAUGCUCCAGAUGAAUGCUUCAGGCCAAAAACUUCUUAGGAUAUGACCCUUUGACAGAAUAGUCCGCACCAUGUUUAGAAUUGUACGGUUCUUCCUUUCUGAAACAUCAUUUUGUUGUGGCGAAUAUGCUGCUGUAAGUUGCUUUUGAAUACCAUGGUUCUCGCAAAAAUUUACAAAUUCUUGUGAGGUGUAUUCUCUACCACGAUCACUGUGGAAAAUCUUAAUAGGUUUGCCUGCUUCUUUUUCGACUAGCAUCUUAAAGCUUUUGAAAGUUGAAAAAGCUUCCGAUUUCUCUUGCAAAAAAUAAACCCAAGUUUUCCUACUAUAAUCAUCAAUGAACGUUAUAAAGUAACAUUUACCACCAUUGGAUGUUGGAUUAAUGGGUUUGCAUAUAUCAAAGUGAACUAGCUCCAACACCUUAUUCGCUCUCCAUGAUUUUCCUUUAGGAAAUUGAUAUCGAUGUUGUUUACCAACAACACAUUCUUCACAAAUUUGAGAAGGAGUCUGAAUUGGUGGAAGUCCAGUCACCAUGUUCUUCUGUUGUAGCGUCUUUAGACCACCAAAAUUUAGAUGUCCGUAGCGAAAAUGCCACAACCAUCCCUCAUCCAUCAAUUUCGCAGAGAAACAAUUCUAAGUAGUGUUGUCUAGAUACAGCGGGAACAUCCGAUUUGUAGUCAUGUUGACUUGAGCAAUUAAGCCUAAUUUCUCAUCUUGGAUGCAACAAACUCCAUCUUUAAUAAAAAUCUCGUAUCCCUUCUCUUGAAGUUGACUAACACUAAGCAAGUUGGUUUUUAAAUCUGGAACAAAAAAGACAUUAGAAAUAAUCUGAUCAGAUUUUUCUUUGGAGUGAAUUCAUACACUUCCUUUGCCCAUGACAAAGACUUUGGAGUUGUCACCAAAAGUUACAGAGUUACGAAAUGUUUUAUCCAAGUCCGAGAACGCUGACUUGUCCCCACACAUAUGAUUACUACAGCCAGUAUCUAUAUACCACAAGUUCGGAUGGGUGCCUUGAUUUGCAUGACACGCCAUUAAAAGAGACACCUCUUCUUCCUUUUCUGCAAAGUUAGUUCUUUCUUCACCUUGUUUAUUCAUAUUAGUUCGGCAUUCAGACUUGUAGUGACCAUACCUAUGACAUCUGUAGCACUCCACAUUUGACUUGUCUAUUGACCUUGAUUUAUAUGUAGUUGAGUAGUUGCCACCUUGUCCUCUUCCUUAAAAUCGGUUGUCUUGACGUUGGUGUUAGUGUUGAUUUCCAUGAUCAUAGUUUCCUCUGCCUCUGCCUCGACUUCUACCUCGUCCUCUAUCUCCUCUUGUCGCCAAGUGAUUUUCUGUUGAGGCCUUCAAAGCUUGCUCCUCUUUCUCCUAUUGGUUAAAUUUACGCUCAUAAACCAACAAAGAACUUUGUAAUUCAUCAAUUGAAAGUUCAUCAAUAUCAUGAUAUUCUUCUAUUGAGCAAACAACAAAAUUAAAUUUUGGUGUCAUGGAUCGAAGAAUCUUCUGUACUAUGGUCACGUCCUCUGUCUUGUCCCCAUGGAUCCGCAUCUUGUUCACGAUCGCCAUUGUUCGAGAGAAAUAAUCUGUAACUGAUUCUCCCAAUCUCAUUCAAAGUGUUUCGAACUCUGUGCGAAGUGUUUGAAGCUGCUGCCGCUUUGCCCUUGCAGAACCUUGGUACUUCUUCUUCAUGGAAUCCCAAAUAUGUUUCGAAGUGUCUUUAUAAAGAAUGGUUUCCAAGAUUGAGCGAUCAAUUGCUUGGAAAAGAUAAUUCUUUGCCUUGAGAUCUUUCAACCGAUGCCCGUCUAGCUCCGUUCUUUGUGCUUGUGUCAUUGUUGCAUUAUCUGUUGGUUCCGUAAUUCCUUCAGAGACAACAUGCCAAUACUCCUUAGAUCUUAGAAAGUUCUCCAUUAACAUGUUCCAAUGAUCAUAAUGACCAUCAAAACGUGGAAUGGCUGGCUGCACAAAAGUUUCAGAGGCCAUUGUUCUCUUCUACUGCUGCUGAAAAAAAAACAAGAGACUAGGUGAAAUAAAAAUGAAGCUGCUGCUGUACGACUCUAUCUCACACACUUCUUUUUGUUUUGUUUGGCACUCUCAACUUUACUUUUCUCACUCUCUCUCUACCAUGCUCUGAUACCACUGUUACAGAUAAAGAAAAGAAAUAAUAAUGUUUCUGCUGAAACAAGUAAAAAGAGAACUGACUAAAUAUUGAUCGUCUAUCUUAUUCAACCAAAAAGAACUGCCUUUAUAUAGACUUAUAUAUAACAAAUAAAAGCAAGAAAAUAGGCACUACAUAUCGUGCCAAAACUAACACCUACAGACUAGGAAAAUAAUAAACUAACUUGUUGAACACAACAAGUUCCCAAAAGACUAGGACAAAAGCUAGCAAACAACUUUUUCUCAAUAGUAGAUAACAAUAAAAACAUGCACGUAACUAUGCUUAGACAAAUAAGAAGCUUGAUGAAUAUAUAUACUAAAAUUAACCACAUACAUUUUAGAUUUGGUAGCAAGCAAAAAGAGGAUCAGAGCCCUAAUAAUUACCAGGAAACUUACAGAAACUAUGAGUUUAGCAUUAUCCUCUACAAUGUUAAUGGGAAGAAAAUAACAACAGUCACCAAUCACCUUUCUACAAUACACGAAGACCAAAUGCAAAACAUAUAUAUCAAAUCUCCUUGACAACCUCAAAGUGAAUGAAUGGAUAAUUGAUUAUUGGUAUAUUGAAAAGUGAAGAUAAAUCAGUCUAAACCUUCAAAAACAAGGGAGCUUAAAAAAAAAAAAAAAUAAAUAUAAGAAAAAACAAGAAGAUAUUUUUGAAUAUGGGAACAAAAAUAUCAUGUCAAUAAAAAAUCAAAAUCUUCUCUGCAAUAUAGAGGCCUUAUAUCUCGAAAAACAAGGGAAUCAAAACCUUUCUUCAUUGAAUAUUUGAAUUCCCAACAACACAUGCAAAGUAAAUGAAAACUCGAAAUCUUCCACUAGACUAAGGUGGAACCAAAGUCUCAAGAUUUUGAGUUUUUUUCUUUUUCUUUUUCCUUUGCUAUACUUUCUCCAUAACCAAAUAGAGCAUGAAAACAACAAAAAUAAAAUAAAGAAAAAGAAAAUAUUCAUAAAUUGCAUUAAAAAAAUUGAGUAGAAAAUCAACCAUAUGACUUCAAAAACGUUUUACGAAAGAUUUUCAAAGAAUCAGAUUCACGAACUCAGUCUGACAAGGGGGUUCUGAAUUCAAUUGGAUUGAGUAAAUGAGCUCCAUGACGUAAACAAUAAUGAUCAACGGUGAAGAACCAAGGAUAAAGAGAAGUAGAGAUACAGGUUUAGCUAGUGGGAAUUGUAAUGUUGCCGCAGUCUGCAAUUGCAUGCAGUAUUAUGUUUCUUAGAAUAUAUGGGAAAAAUCAAGAUACGAGCUCAUAACUCUAAUUUUGUCUAGGAUUCUGUACUCUAAAGUCCUGGAGGUACCGGUAUUAUACAUGUUGGCAUAGGAAUGAAUUGUUUAAGAAUAAUGUGAAAUAAUAAAUUAAUUUAUUGGGAGAAAAAAUGAAUCAAUUAGAAGUGUACAAAAUUGAGAGGCUACGUACACACAAUCGUGGCUCAAACUUGUAAUUUAUUAUGUGCAAGCAUAUUCUUAGCUGUGAAAGCAUGACUAGGUGCCUCACCAAAAGGAGAAGGUAUAUCUUCUUGGUCUCUAAAUGGCUUAACCCAUCUGUCAUGCCGGUUAAACACAAGCCCCUUGUUAGGCACUUGGAACCAGUUCUCUGGGAUCCUCAGCUCCUCUAUCAACAUAUCACUGAACUUGUUCGCUAAGGCAACGUCUCUCCGUGCAUUCCAUCUAAAUUUGCUCUGGGUAUCAUGGAACCCAUCUGUGAGAUGCAGAUAUACCUCUAGGUUAUGAAAACCUAGCAAAUCGAACUCCCUCUUCAAGUAGGGCGACAAUGACAUGUCAAGUUUCAGCUCCGUGCCUACAUGCCUGUACAACCAUUUCAAUCCUCUAGUGAGAGCAUGGAGUUGGUUAAGAAUCUUGUUGAAUAUAAUCCCUGGAAGUUUGGGGACUAUGUCUUGCUUCACAACAACACGCAGUACCUUCACUCCCAUUUCACUCAUCUUGUCUCUGAAAGAGACGUUCCCAACCCUUGGCGCACCAAAUGAAUGACGCUGAUGUGAUCAAGAUCCGGGAGAGAGGACGCGGCGUCAUAGGCACUGAGGAGAGCCAAGGCACCACCUAGGCUGUGGCCAGUGACGGUGAGGCUGACUUCUUCCCCACUUCCUUUGAAAAACUCAAGCAGCCUUUUCACUUCUUCCAUGACUUGUUCAGAGGCACUUAACUUGUUAUAUCUGGUAGACUCACUCUUAGACGUGUAAAUGCUAUGAAAGCCACUUUCAACCUUGACACCUCCUUCCCCGAUUUGCUCGAGCGAUGCCUUCAUAUCCGAGAACCAUUCAGAUGGCGCCACUGUCCCUCUCCAUGCCCCAGCUAUGUCUCUUCUUCCAAUCCUUUGGGACUCCUUGUCACAGCUCACAGCAACAUAGCCCAUCCAGUUGGAAUCUUUACUCCAUGUUUCACCUGUGUUAGGCCUCUCGAACCAACUCGGGACAUCGAUGUUGGUCAUGGCAUAGAUGUACUUAGUCACCUUGUAACCGUGUUUAGUAAGAUGUAAUUCAUCAAAAAGAUUGUGCCGAUUGUAUCUACAACUCCCACAAAAGUCCGAGAAGGAAUCAUAGUCGAAUGCAUCAUAAGUCGCCUGCUCAAAUUCUCCAUAUUUAACGAUCUCUCUUCGAAGCCAUGGGUGAAUCGGAUCCAGAAGAUUUUCCCAAUUGAACUGACCAUGAAUUUCUCGCCAUUUUGUCGAUAUGUUCUCCCGUGGGGACCUCGUUGGGGUCAUAUGAUCACCCCGGUCAAUGAAAUCUGAAGCUGUGUAAGUGAGUCGCAUCAGGUUUCCCAGUGGAGAAACAUGUUUCUUAGCCUUUUCAGAUUGUAGUUGCUGGAUAGGCGCCACCACUCUACCAUCACCGAUUCCGGAGAGCUGUUUGAAGCUGGAUGCGCAUGUCAUAUGAAGAUGAUGCUUUUUCAUGGCAGAUGAUAGAGCCUUCUUGAUGGCCCGAAGCCAGACUUGCGUACCCUUUUCGUUUUUCUGCUCCUCCUUUUCUCCCUUGUGACUUGCUUUGAUGAUAGCAAGUCCAUUGUGAAUCAAGGGCUAGAACAAGAGAACAACUUGGAAUAUUUAGAUUUGCAUAGACUAUGGAUAAGGCUUAAUUGAGCUUCCAAGAGGGAUUUAUGUAAGAUCUUGUGCGUACAAGCUUCAUGGAAGGCUCUGAAUAUUUAACCUUUCAAACUCUCCAUGGGUCUACGGCGCCCCUUGACUUCUCAGUGGUACGAAAUUUUGACUUAUCGAUCGCUUUAAUCUGGAAAGUCCGGUGGCUGCCUCUGAGCUUAGAGUCUAACUACAACAACGGUUAAAUUUGGCGGUGUCAUAACCAUUUAAUAAUAAUGAGUAAGGUCCAAAUUCCAUGUAUCAAUCUGCCAUUGGCUUAUUCUUUACGACCUCAUCGUCACCUAACCUAGUUGUUUAAUGAAAAACUGAACCACCCUAAUUUUUAUUUAUGUUUUGUUGAAUCUGGUCCAAUUUCAACUUGUGUUACAAAUAAUAUUCAUAUGACACGGUGUUUACUAAUAUUUUUAUUUGGAAAAUAUUUGCUUAAUUAUGUUAACUUUUCCUAAGUGCAAUUUGGGGAUCAAUUUUGACGCCUCCAUAUUAUAUUAAAAAGUCUCAAUUAAACAUUCCAUUCAAAAAAUUAUUUGGAAAAUUAACAUGCCGCCUUAUUGGAUUAUCUUCAAUUAAUAUUGUUAGAGUUUAAUAACUUGAAUUCUAUUUGAUCUAACUCGAAAAACUUUUACAAUAUACAUGAUAAAGCUAAAAUUAUGAGGUUUUUUUUUUUUUAUGUGGUGGUAGUCGGACCGAUCCUGUAUUGCCUCUACGGUAUGGACCUACUUUAUAAAUUAUUCUCUCUCUCUCUCUCUCUCUCUCUCUCUCUCUCUCUCACACACACACACACACACACAUAUAUAUAUAUACAAUGAUUAUGUUUCUAUCGUAAUCAUUCGUAUCUAUCUUCUUUUGUAUCAAUUUUUGUCUUUGGUUUUUCCUGUCUAAGAUUUUUCACGUAAAUCUUUGUGUGCUUAUUCUAUUUUAUUUUAUUCGUAACAAAUAUAGUUUGAAAAGGUCCUAAGCUUGAAUGGUAAGAAAUGUAGCAAAUUGCAUGGUUUGUUGAAAAGUGAUGUCCCUUGUAUUAUAUUAAUCUUGUAAGGAAUGCAAUUGGGUUAGUUGAACCCCAUAUAUCCCACAACAAAUGCAUUAGUUUAAAGCCAUAAAUUAAGAUGGGUAUUUGGUUGAUGAAUUAAUAACUUGAACAGAGUCAAUUCUUAAUGCGAGGUUAAUGAAUUAAUAAAACCCGAAAGUAAAUUUUAUUAGAUGGAUGAUUUCCUAAAACAAAGAGAUAUAGACACUUCUUAAUUUAAUUCAUAUGCCAUAUUUGCUCAAGUUCCUUGUUAGGAACUCAGAAUCAAAGUUCCUUCUUACUUAGUCUAAUUACGUGAGUAAGGAGAUUUAGGGUAUGUUUGAAAAAAUUUUUGAAAAUAUUUAUUAUAAAAUAGUUUUUUAGAAUAGUUUAAAAAAAUAGGUAAAUGAUGUUUUCUAAAAUAAAAGUAAUUUAAAAUAUUUUUACCAUAUUUUUUGUAUUUUAAAUAUUUUAAAAAUAAAUUUUGUUUGUAGUUUUUUAUUUUCAAUUAUUCUUCAUAUUUAUAUAAUUAUUUUUUUAAAAAAAUGGUACUAAAAAAAGUGAAAAUAAAUUAAUAUAAUUAAAAUAUAUUCUCGAAAACAUCCUAUGUUCAAAACUAAUUUUCAAAAAAAAUAUUUAAGAAAGUAUUUAUAAAAUUAUCAGAGUUUUAACCACGAAAAAACUAAACUAUGGCACCAUGUAAGCUAAAAUCAUUUUUUCGAGAAACGUUUUCUAUCUUUUAAUUAAUAAAAAAAUCUUAUUAAAGUCAUCACUUGUAGAAGUGAUUUCUCUAAAAAAAAAACAAAAUUUUCUAUCAAAAUUGUCUCUUAAAUAUAUCGUUUCGGAAGAAAAUAAUUUUUCUAAAUGAAAAUCAUCUCUUAAAGAGAUAAUUUCAAUUGUUUUCAAAAAAUACAAUUUUAUUAAAGUAGCCUCUUCAAGAUAUAUUUUCCUAUUUUUAAUAAUAUUUUUAGCUAAUUAUAUUUUUUAUAAUAAUAGAAUUAUUUAAAAAUAUAAAUAAUAAAAUGAACAAAUUUUAUAUAAUCAAUCCAAUAUAACAAUAAUUAUUAUUUAUUAUGGAUAUAUUAUUUAUAGACAAUAAUAUUAUUUAUUUUUUAUUUCAAUUUUAUUUUAUUUAUGUGUUAUGCAAUCAAAUUUCUUAUCUAAAACAAGAUAUAAUUUAUUUUGUAAGUCUAAAACGAUUUGAAUCAUUUCUUAAUUUAAAACGUGUAUUCUCUUUAUUUUAUAUAAAGUUUAAUAAUUAACUUUUUCACAUAUAUUUCACACGUUUCACAUGCAUUGCAGCUAAUUUGAGUAAAUUUCACUUUCUUGAUAGCAGUCGAUUGUCUUGAUGAUAGCCAUACAAUGAAGAAGAAGAAGACCUCGAAAAGAAAUGUUUUUCAAGACCUAAGAUUUAUAGGAUCUCUUUGUAAGUUUGUUAGUGCACUAGGUCUUUCAUGCAUUACAUUAUUAGUUAAUGCACCAAAAUAAUCCAAAAGUAAUUUUGUUUUAAAAUCCUUUAAAAUUGGAUGAUUUCAUGUUUUCAACUAAAACCUUAUGUCAAAUGUUUUCCAAACUUGUUUAAAAGGUUUUAAGUUGAAAAUGAUGGUUGUUGAGCCAAAACCGACUCAACCGGUUGAACCGAAUGAGGAACCAGUUAACCAAUUCAGCUCAACCGUACCGAUCGAAUGGUGCAAAAACCUUCUCUUUCUUUCAAAACGCUUGUUCAACAGGUUGAGGUCCAAUUAAAGUCCAAUCAAGGGGUGAUCGAGGUCCAAAGGUCGUCUGUCAAGCAUUAAAUGUUAACGGCUAGUCAACCAGUUGACCUCUAACUCGACCAAUCAAACCUCCAAUGGCUAGUUUGGUCGUUUUCCUCUAUAAAAAUGCUUCAAUAUUCAUUGUUUCAAGAGUUUAACUUUCCUAAAUAUUUUUUGAAUAUAUUUGAGCAUUGGAGCAAUGUUUUUUAGUGCACCAUUGUUCUAAAACUUGCAUAUCAUUAAUACACCUUUCAAUCCUAGUUUUUCUUAUACAUUUGAGCCUAAAGUUUUGUAUUAAGAUUUUGUGAGAAUAUUUCAUAUCUUCAUUUGUAGAUCUUUGAGAAGAAAAGUCUAAGUGUGUGAUAUCACUUAAGGAUUCUCAAGUGUAGGGUAUCACUUGAGGGGUUGUUCAAGAGUGAGGUAUUUCUUGAGGAUUGUAAAGGGUGCUUGGAGCUAAAAGUCCAAGAAGGUGGAUUGGAACCAUAAUCCAAUUGUAUUGUUUGAAGUCUUGAUUUGGAAGCCUUAAAAUAGUGGAACCUCAAGCUUGGGAUUGAAGUUAGAGGAUAGUAGAUGUAGGUCGCAUUGCGCUGAACCACUAUAAAAAUCUUGUGUUUACAUUCUCUCUUCUCUACUUUUUUACUUUAUUUGCAAUUAUCUUUAUAUUGUUUUAUAUAUAUAUAUAUAUAUAUAUAUAUAUAUAUAUAUACAUAUAAUUGUCUCUUGCAUUCAUAUAAUUUAAGUUUUCAAAAAAAUACCAUCACUCUAUUCACCCCUCCUCUAGAGUGAAUUACCUUAUGUUGAAUUAGUCUAAUUUUUCUAAUAGUAAUGAAUGGAUGUUUCAUAGUUUAUUAUUCAUUGUUGCAUUGUGAUAUAUUAUACAUGAUAGGGAAGUUGGUUUUUAUUUAUUAUCUAAUCAAAGGAUUCCCUCAGGUAUUAAUUUAAUAUUUUAAUUGUGAUGCCCUUACUCUAAUUAGUUGGUUACGUACUUUCUCAUAAUCUUUAUUUCUUCCAUCUAUAAACAUAAAUAUCUAUUCAUUAGAAUAGCAGUAUUUGGAAUAGAAGAGAAUCAAUCAGUUACACAAUGAAUUAGUUACUGAUUCCGAAUAAAUUAACUAAAAUAACUAGUUCUUAAUCUUAGUUUCUUGGGUGAAGUUACUUGACCGCAGUUAUAUAUAUAUAUAUAUAUAUAUAUAUAUGUAUGUAUAAGAUGGAAGAAAUAAAGAUUAUGAGAAAGUAUGUAACCAACUAAUUAGAGUAAGGGCAUCACAAUUAAAAUAUUAAAUUAAUACCUGAGGGAAUCCUUUGAUUAGAUAAUAAAUAAAAACCAACUUCCCAAUCAUAUAUAUAUAUAUAGGAGUCGUAUGCAUGCCUUGUAUGAUAAUUGAUGUAUUUGUGAGUUCAUGUUCUCUCCUUAUGCCAUGUAGAUACCAUGCAUGGUAGAUUUUAUUCCUCUAAUUGCUUGUCAUUAUCUUUUAUCCUACUCUCUAUUCAUAUUGGAAACACAUUACGUUUAAGAUAUGUUGUUCAGGUACGCUCACCACCCUUCACCUUUUAAUUUUAUGAGUAUACAUGUUUUGUAUAAAUUUCAUUCAUGUCUGAUACUAUCCUUAACUACUUUGAUUAUUACUUGAUUUUUUUUUUAUGAGAUGCAUGUUAUAUAACUUGUCCUUUGAUAUAACCCCACCAUCUUAUGAUAGUGCUUUAAGAAGCACCUUAGGUACGCUUGCUAACUCCUUUAUGUUUGUAAUUGAAAAUAAUUGUUCAUUGGCUCAAUAUAUUAUUAGAAUUAUCACACUUCCCUCAACCUAGUCAAUAGAAACCUUUUUAGGGGUCAGAGAAGCGCUACACUUUUAGAAUACAUUCUCAAUAGGUAAUCUGAUCAUUUGACUUAGACUCGAAUUUUUCGAAGAUACGUUUUUCCAAAAGUUUAAGCAUACAUUUUUUUCUUAGGGUUUUAGUUUCUUAUUUUAUUUUCCUUAUAAAAAAAUCAAAAUAAGUUAUAACUCCACUUUUUAUAAAAUAUAUAUUUUUCACCUAAAAAGCAAGUCUCAUCAUCUAGUAGGAAUGCACGUGAAAACGAGUCCACAAUUUAUAAUGCAAAUUAUCCUAUAUAAUAAUAUUCAUUUUUUUCUAAUUUGUUUUUAAAAUAUCAAAUUACAUUAUAUUAUAUCAUAUAUUUUUCAAUUUUUUAGAAAAAUAUAUAGAUUGAGUCAAGAUGUGGGUUCAUCUAACGAGCUAGAUUUUGAAAGAAUUGGGCACUUCUGUUUACUAAAUGAACAGCUUGUUUCAUUCCAUUCUUAUUUCAUCCAUUUAUCUAAAUAAACUAUAAAUAUAAUAAUAAUAAUAAUAAUAAUAGAAACAAAAACAUAAUUCAGCUUUUGAUGCUUAAUAAACCCAUUUCAAAGAGCAUUUCCCUGGUCCUUACCAGUUAUGAGUGCACUAUAGAUUAAGUGGCUGGUCAGAACUCCGAAACUAGAAAUGUUGAACACAUGGAAAGUACCUCUCACCCCUAUUCUCCUCAAGAAACGGAGAAAAGACCAAUUUUGUCUUCAAAGUUGAUGAGCUUCGAAGCUUUAUCUGAAUAUUUUUUUCUUAUAUUUAUUCUUUUGUUGCUAUUUUGAAAUUUUGUCCUAUUUACUAAUUUAAUUUUCAUAUAAAUAUAUUUUAAAAAUAUUAUAAAUGAAUUUUAAAUUAUGUAACCUAACCAACCUAAAUUCAAUCUGAUCAACCCGAAUCUAAUUCGAUUAACCCAAGUAUAACUUGAACAACUUAAAUUCAACCUGAACUUAAAAAAAUGAAGUUGAGUUAGGUUUGGAUUGAGUACCUCAAAUUAGAGUUACAUUAGAUUGAAUUCAAGUUGAUUAUUUCUUAAUUCAGAUAACCUACUCAACUCACGGCCCUAGAUUUGAGCAAUCUAAAAACCAUUGAAAAGCUUUUGUUGAGAAGAAUUUGUCAAAAAAUAUAUAUGAAAAACAAAAUAAUGUGUAAAAAAUAUUUAUUUAAUUAUCAUAUUAAUGCCCUCUUAUAAAUCUAAUAUAACUUGUUAAAAAAAAUUACUUACUAAGAAUUAAGAACAUGACAUGAAGAAAAAGACUAAUAGAGAUCAAAUUUUGCUUUGAUACCAAUUGGAGAUAUCUCAUCUCCUUAGCAUAUGAUUUUAUAUCAGUUUAUAAUUACAUCAUAAAUUUAUUAAAACAUAAUUAAUACCUAACGUACUUAAGUGGAAGUGAAAAAUGGAUCAGGAUUAUAUUUCCUCUUUCCUCUUUACGUGUUCAAAAUAAUGGUACUACAAGAACAAGCACUCAAUUCCAUAGCCUAGGAGCUAUGAAACACUCUAAACACCAAUAGAAAGGAAGGGAGAGAGAUAACCCCACAUAAAUACUGCUAGAUUAAUGUGCCAACCAAUAGAAAGGAAGGUCCGUUGGAUUCUCAUCCCAUGAGAUGCCUGAUGAAAGUGUGCUUUAUCUCUAUAAAAGCAAUCAGAUGCCGUACACAUACAGAGCAUAACAUUAUAUAUACAUGGCCAAAUACCCUAAAUAAGUACCGUAGAAGUAGUAAUAAUGUGAAAUAAUGAAUUAAUUUAAUAUGACAAACGAAUCGAUCAAUAACAGGUGAACAACAUCCUUAUCGAAAUUGAGAAGCUAACACUCAGUGGUGAAAUCAUCUUAAUUCUCACGUAAUAUACCAUGUGCAGACAUAUUCUAAGCUGUAAAAUCAAGCUUAGGAGCUUCACCAAAAGGAGAUGGAAUGUCUUGUUGGUCCCUACAUGGCUUAACCCAUCUGCCAUGACUGUUAAACACAAGUCCCUUAUUAGGCACUUGAUACCAGCACUCUGGGAUCCUCAGCUCCUCUAUCAACAUAUCACUGGACUUGUUCACUAAUGCAAGGUCCCUCCUAGCAUUCCACCGGAAUUUCAACCUCUUUCCCACGUACCCAUCUGUGAGAUGCAGGUAUAUCUCUAGGUUAUGAAAACCUAGCAAAUCAAAUUCGCGCUUCAAGUAGGGAGACAAUGACAUAUCAAGUUUCAGCUCGCUUCCGACGUGUCUGUACACCCAUUUCAAUCUUCUAGUGAGAGCAUGGAUUUGGCGAAGAAUCUUGUUACAUAUAAUCCCUGGAAGUUUUGGGACUAUAUCUUGCUUCACCACCACACGCAGUAUCUUCACUCCCAUUUCAUUCAUUUUGUCUCUGAAAGCGAUAUUCCCCACUCUUGGAGCACCAAAUGAGAUGACGCUGAUGUGAUCAAGAUCCGGGAGAGAGGACGCGGCUUCAUACGCAUUGAGGAGAGCCAAUGCACCACCUAGGCUGUGGCCAGUGACGGUGAGACUGACUUCUUCCCCUCUUCCUUUGAAAAACUCAAGCAGCCUUUUCACUGCUUCCAUGACCUGUUCGGAGGCACUCAACUUGUUAUAUCUAGUCGACUCACUCUUCGAUGCGUAAAUGCUAUGGAAGCCGCUUUCAACCUUGACACCCCCUUCCCCGAUUUGCUCUAGCGAUGCCUUCAUAUCCAAGAACCAUUCAGAUGGCGCCACUGUCCCUCUCCAUGCCACAACUAUGUCUCUUCUUCCAAUCCUUUGGGACUCAUUGUCACUGCUCACAGCAACAUAGCCCAUCCAAUUGGAAUCUUUACUCCAUGUUUCACCUGUGUUAGGCCUUUCAAACCAACUAGGAACAUCAAUGUUGGUCAUGGCGUAAAUGUACUUGGUGACCUUGUAACCAUGUUUUGUGAGAUGCAAUUCAUCAAAAAGCUUGUGCCGAUUGUAUCGACAACUCCCACAAAAGUCCGAGAAAGAAUCAUAGUCGAAUGCAUCAUAAGUGGCCUGAGAAAAUUCUCCAUACUUAACAAUCUCUCUUCGAAGCCAUGGGUGAAGCGGGUCCAGAAGACUUUCCCAAUUGAACUGGCCAUGAAUUUCACGCCAUUUCGCCGAUAUAUGCUCCCUGGGAGACCUGGUUGGUGUCAUGUGGUUGCCCCGAUCGAUGAAAUCCCCUGCUGUAUACGCCACGCGCAUGAGGCUUUCCAGUGAUUUACCCCCAUGAGAAACAUGUUUCUUAGGCUCUUCAGAUUGAAGUUGUCGGAGGGGCGUCACCAUGCCUCCAUCGCUGAUUCCGGAGAGCUGUUUUAAACUGGAUGCACAUGUCAUAUGAAGAUGAUGCUUCUUCAUGGCAGAUGAUAGAGCCUUCUUGAUGGCACUCCAACUGAAGCCAGACUUACGUGCCCUUUUUGUUUUUCCUCUCCUCAUUUUCCCACUUGUGACUUUCUUCGAUGGUAGCAACUCCAUUGAGGAUUAAGGGGCUAGAGCAAGAGAACAACUUGGAAUUUUCAGAUCUGCAGAUUAUGGGUUGGGUGGGAAUGAGCUUAGGGAAGGGGUUUAUAUAAUUAGAUUCAUAGCCCAUAUUUACGUGAGUUUCAUGGAAGGCUCUGAACAAAAAACUUUUUGAAAACCACCCCAUUGGGCAGCCCAUGACUUUCUACUGGUAAGAAAUUUUGACUAUUCCCCAUUAUUGACCUUUUCUUCGGCUCGAGAUCAAGGGGUCCAAAGGCGUGAUUUAUAAAAAUACAGAAGUUCACUGGCCGCCUGAGCUUAUCUUCUCAAGAGUUCAACUGCAACAAAACGUUAAAGUUGAACCAACCAAAGAGUCAAUGACAAUUAUGACAUAUGACCAAAUUUUAGGGUUUUAUAGCCGUUUUAUAAGAAUUAGGUGCAAGUUCCAUUUAUGUGGCUCUUGUUGAUGCAUUCUAUAACCACACGUGUAGGAAAUACUAAUUGUUUAAUGAACAAAUUCAGCAGCCCUAAUUAUUAUACAUUUGUUCGCAGUACCUAAUUCUUACUAAAUUCAAACCAAUUGCAUUUCCUUCAUCGAAACUAACCAAAGUUGAAUUCCAAGGAACUUAAUUUUGUAGUAUUUGUAAUAUUAACCGAUAUUAUUAGCUAGGACAAACAUUAAUGUCCAACAUUAAAAAGAAACAUUAACAUAACUGAGAGUAGUCUAUAUAUAUUUAACAAAUUGAGAUGCCGUCAUAUUAGAUUAUCGUUAAUUAAAUACCCAACUUAGUGGACUUGACCAAUCAGGACAUAGGAAAUUACAAAUUCUUGGAUUUAGCAGACAUCUAAGAAUAGCUACUGAUCCCACAACAAUGGUGUCUUCUUGACUAUUGAUCGUCACAUCAUAACGUCAUCUUCUUCAGCCCAUAAUUCUUGUUUGUGUAGCAUCCAUGGUUUGUUUGGGUGAACUGUAGUUGGACUCACAUUUGUGUCCAUUGACUACAUUUUGCUCAAAAUCCUACCAAAUUGAGUCCAUCCUAAAACCAAUGACAAAAAUAUUUGAUUGAUCCUCCACAAUUAUCUUACCUAAUUAAGUUUAAAUUUUGUAACAGUUAGCAUAAAUUUAUUGGGAAGAAUGGUGUUCUUCAACUUAGAUUUGCUGAACACCUGCUACAACAUAUACAGGAGAUAUAAUCUUUAUUAAUUUUACAUAUUUCAACAUUUUACCAUAAUUAUUGGUAGAUUAAAUUAUAACAAGGAUAACACGAAGAUAUAUUAAAAUUUUAAUAUUUCUAAUUUUAUUAUAUACCAAUUUUAUUAUUUAAAGUUUUUAAAAUGGUUAUAUUUAUUUUUGAGUUUAGAAUUAUAUUAUAUAUAUUUUAAAUGCUUUACAAUGCAAAAAUGUUUUGGUGCGAUACCCAGGUUCAAUCCUGAUUCCCGUGCGCUCACAAGGCUUUUAGCCCUUAGAAAACAAGCCCCUUUGAAUCCCACAUCGGAACUUGAAUGAUCAAAACAACAUUCGGAAAUGGAUUGAUCAAAACAACACUAUAAACUAUCUAUUCAUGAGUGCAACAGUCAGUUCAGUCAAAGAGUUGGGAAAGUGCCCUGCACUGGGCCAAAUCAGCGUGUCCUUCUCAUCCUUGAAAGGACCGGUUAGUUGAUAAAGGCUUCUGUUGGGCUCGGGCUUGUGAAAUAAAGCUAAUUGGUGGGCUGAAAAAAAAAACCAGAAAGUUUUAGCUGAGCCGGGUAGCGGUUUAGCGGUUCGACCUUCAGCGCUAAAAAAAAAUUCAUUUUUUUUAUUUAAAAAAUAAAUUUUAUAUAUAAAAAAAAAUAUAUUUAUUAGCAACCAAGGGUACUCAGAGUGCAUUAACACUCAACUUUAAGGAUUGGGAAUGAAAUUAACCAAAAUUUGUAAUGAAAAUCUAAAAAUAAAUAAACUAAUGUAUAUAUUAUGUUAUUUUCAUAUAAAAUUAAUUAGUUAAAAUGGAUAACCAAUUUACAUAAAAUUUAUGUUUUUUUUUAAGAGUAACCAAUUUUUAAUAUAAAUACUUAUAACUAUUUUAAAUAUAUUUUUAAUAUAAAUACUUAUAACUAUUUCAAAUAUUUACUUGUAUGUUUUAAAAAAAAAUUAUUAUUAUUAUUAUUUAACAAAUAAAAAUAACCCAUCCAAUCUACAAAGAAUAGGGAAUGAGUAUUGGUGGGGUCCUUUAAUCAGGAUGCUUCUCAGAAAUGGGUGUGAGCAUUGGACCGAAAUCAGUCCACCGCACACGGGCAAAUGGGAACGCUGACGGUUUUGGGGCUGGAAGUUGAAAGUCAAAAGUUGGUACCCUUUCUCUCUCUUUCUCUUUUGCCACAUGGGAGACUUGGAACCAGUCGAAAAAGCAGGUUCAUAAGUCUAUUACUAUAAUACCCUUUUCUUUUCCGACACUACAAGCAUAAGUUAGGGAGUUAUUCCCGAUGGCCGUCAUGACAAUUUCUUGAAAACCAAGGUCUACAGUCUAAUACUUGGGAAAGAGUCAAAAUUUGAACAGCCGAGAGACCAUGCCCCCAACGCGUGAUGGAAACUGAAAAGUUCAAAACCAUUGUUUGAUCGAACUCGUUCUCGUUUCUAUAUAUAUCUCCUGUGCAUUCCAACUUCCAAACUCAGCAGAAAGCGUUAAGCGUUUCCAAAUUGAGUGCUACCAUGAAGGCAAUUUCAUCCUCCUGCAUCCACCACCAUCUCCCGGUGGCUCACCACCGCCGCACCAACCAGACUUUCAUUAUUCGUGGCUUUCAAGAAGUUGCCACGCUCCCCAAACAGCAAAGCGCCAGCUCUCGCCUAUCCCAAUCGUUCUCAAACCUCCUUCGUCUCCAUGUUGACACCCCUCCUAGAACUGACUUUCAGAGUUCUACUGGUAUUUCUCUCAUUGAUGAGAAGCACUCCACUCCAACAUGUUCCCCCAAAGAAGACAUAUCGAACAAAUGGAGCGAAAUUCAUGGUUCCUGUGAUUGGGACAAUCUUCUUGACCCUCUUCAACCUUGGCUUCGCAGAGAGAUUGUCAAGUAUGGAGAAUUCGCGCAGGCGACUUAUGAUGCAUUUGACUUCGAUUCAUUCUCGGAGUAUUGUGGGAGCUGUAGAUACAAUCAGCAUAAGCUGUUCAAAGAACUAGGCCUAGAAAAGAAUGGUUACAUGGUGAGCAAGUAUAUCUACGCCAUGUCCCAUAUCGAUGUGCCCCAAUGGCUGGAAAGGUCUCACCUGCUCGACACAUGGAGCAAAGAUUCCAACUGGAUGGGCUACGUAGCAGUCAGCGAUGAUCAAGAGUCGCGCCGGAUUGGGCGAAGAGAUAUUGUCGUGUCAUGGCGUGGGACAGUGGCACCAUCGGAGUGGUACGAGGAUUUUCAGAGGAAGCUAGAGCCUGUUGGGAGUGGAGAAGCUAAAGUUGAGCACGGCUUCCUUAGUAUCUACACAUCCAAAAGGGAGUCUUCAAGGUAUAAUAAGUCAAGUGCCUCAGAUCAAGUGAUGAAAGAAGUAACAAGGCUAGUGCAAUUGUACAAGCAAAGAGGUGAACAAGUGAGCCUUACAAUCACUGGACAUAGCUUAGGCGGUGCCUUGGCCCUCCUCAACGCAUACGAAGCUGCCACCUCUCUUCCAGGUCUUCCAAUUAGUGUAAUAUCGUUCGGUGCUCCCAGGGUUGGCAACAUUGCCUUCAGGGAUGAACUCCACCAGCUGGGAGUUAAAACCUUACGGGUGGUCGUGAAGCAAGAUAUGGUCCCUCGGAUGCCAGGACUUGUCUUCAAUGAAAGAUUACAGAAGUUCGAUGAUAUCACAGGAACCCUAAAAUGGGUGUACACGCAUGUGGGAGCGGAGUUGAAGCUCGAUGUGCAAUCUUCUCCUUACCUCAAGCGCGGGUUCAAUCUUCCCGGGUUUCACAGCCUGGAGACGUACCUCCACCUUAUUGAUGGAUUCCAUAGUAAAACCUCGACGUUUCGGGAAGGUGCUCGGAGGGAUAUUGCCCUAGUGAACAAGGCUUGCGAUAUGUUAGUGGAUGAGCUUAGGAUCCCACAUGCUUGGUACCAAUUUGCAAACAAGGGCCUAGUCCGCAAUGCUCACGGUAGAUGGGUUAAACAAGUUAGAGACCCAGAAGACAUACCUUCACCUGCCAGAGAAACCCAUCAUCAGGCUUUUUCAGUUGAGAUGCUUGCAACUGAUGAAGGACUCGCCCUUACUUUGUGUUAAUUAAGCCAAAAAUUUUAUGGGUUUAUACAGCUUGAACCACAAUUGUAAAUUAUGUUGUUCAUAUACGGAUCAUAUGGCAGUACCAUAUCAAUUAUUUUGGUUACUUGGAUACUUUUUGAGUAAACAUGUAGUACAGUUUGGUAUACUUUUUGAGUAAACACGUAGUACUGUUUUGUAUCGGAGAAAGGACGUGAUUGAGCCAUUUAAGGGGCAAAAGAUAUGAUUGGCCAAAUAAAUUAAGGAUGUUCUUAUGAUAUGUAAAAGCAUAUAUGAAAACGCUAUAGAACUGUAGUGAUAUGUAUCGAGCAAGAGAUCUAAGUCAUUGAAUACGUUAAAUAAGGGCGCACACGAAUAACAUCGAGAUAUAAUAAUACAAAUAAACGUGUCAGAGUACAAAUGAAAGGCUGUUUGAGUUUUUAUGGUCUUUGAAGGCUUAAAUGUACUCCAAGACUGUUUGACUUGUGGCAUUCACAAUUAAUGAAGCAGACACAAGAUCAUAUUGGAUCCUUGCGCCUUGACUUCAUAGGCCUCGGAAGGAGUUUAAGACCAAAAUAAUUUAUUUGUAAAAAAAAAUAAUAGAAUAGUGUCCAUAUGUCAAAGUAGUCUUCUUUAUUCACGUAAGUAUCCACAUGAAUUUUAAGUGUAAAAAAUCAUCGUUGGUAACUAUGGUUUUAAAACUUACAAAAUUUUUCUUAAAACCACAAUUACAAACUGUGGUUUUACAAUUUCUCUUAAAACCACAGUUACUAACUGUGGUUUUAAAAGAAGUAUCCUUAAAACCACAGUUACAAACUGUGGUUUUAUAAUUUCCCUUAAAACCACAGUUAGUAACUGUGGUUUUACAAUUAUUUUUAAUUCGUCCCUAUUUUAAUGGUGUUAUAAUUUUAAUAUUAUUUUUAAAAUAUUUUUUUAUUAAAACAAUUAUAAAACCACAGUUACUAACUGUGGUUUUACUAAUGGUGUUGUAAUUUUAAUAUUAUUUUUAAAAUAUUUUUUUAUCAAAAUUACAAUUAUGUUGUAAUUUUCACAAAUAUUUUUAAGGGGAACUCAUGUGAAAAAAAGUAUGGGAUUUUAGAACUUUGCUUUUC